rnacentral:lncRNA from 1 species
UGUUUACACCAUAAGGAGCGAAGUCGAUACGAGCUAGGGAAAUUCCGAAAGUGUUGAGCCCUGGCAGAUUGUUGACAAGCACACGAGUGACAUUAGAACCCACUGGAUUGUUUGUAUUUCCAGGUAUGUUGAAUCCCUGGAAGAAGAAAUCGUUGGCAUUCACAACCUUUGGAUCCUUACAAAUCUUUCCGUUCACAAACACUGCAUUCAAAAAACUAGCUGUUAAUAAUGUGAUAAUGCGGAGAAAACGAACCCACAUUGCUUUUUGCAUGUCUUACUAGGUAUCAUGCACAAUGUAGUGAAAAAUUAAAUAAAGAAAGAGAUAACUUAUAUGUCAAGGCAAACAUGACAGGACACGAAAAUCGUACUUAGAAUAAAGAAACAUGUUUCGCUACAUUUUCUGCUAGUUAGAAGGAAUUACCAGCAGCUUUGGGAUCAUUGAUUGCAACACAAAAAUCCUGCAGAGGGCUAGGAUCAGAAGCGAUGGCAAGGGAUGAAAGUAGUGCCAUUGCCGCUAUGGUUAUCAGGAACGGAGCUCCCAUGGUAAUUGUGGACGAGAUCUAGUAUUUCUUAUGCUAACUCUUCCGUUGAUGGUUCGAGGAAUUUGGGCAAAGAUUUGAAACUAUAUAUAGGCAUAUUUCAUUUGACAAUAGUUUAUCUCUAUCACAUGAAGACACUUACACCUGAUUGACAGCUAGGCCUACAGGUUAGGUUGGUGGCUUUUUAUACUUAAAUAUUAAGUCGGUGAACUUUUAGCUGAACUUUCUUUUUUUCUCAACAACUCUUAGCUGAACUUUCUUUUUUUCUCAACAACUCUUAGCUGAACUUUCUUUUUUUCGCUCUAUAUUUUUCUGGAAUCAUUUUUUUCUCAAUGUUAUACCCCAACAAAUCCGAUCAUUUUUCUCCAUGGCUGGUCCCUUACUGGAAAAUGUUAUACUUCUGAUUGGUUGCAUUUUUGUCAUUAAUUUUAUGAUUAUUUUCCUCUUUUAUUUUACCAAAUAUUAUUUUAAUUGAUGAAUUCUACUCAUAUUUGGUUACUGGUGCUAAUUGUAAGAAAUGGAGCAAAACGUGGUUAAAAGGGGUAAUUUUCUAAGAAUUACUGUCAGGUCCAGAGAAGCCGAGAUUUGUGCGUGGUAGUUUCCUAAUUCAAGUCGAAGACUUACGAAACAUGUUUCCAAUUACAAUUGGGAAACUAUUUAAAUUAUCUUUUAUCAAUUUAGGAAUUAUCUUUUUCUUAGGAAAAUUAGGAAGUUUAUCUUAUUUUCAAAGCUACAAAAUAGGAAGGAAAUUGCGACUACUAGGAGUACUUGUGAAACUACGAUUUGGCCGUCUCUUAGACUAUUUAGGGGAUUGAUUAGUUUCGGCAAAGAGGGGAGGUACGACGGCCGCUUGGCCUUUUGGCCAAUCUUUUGUUUUCUCUAGUUUUUCUCUUAUCAAAGACUAAUGUGGCUGGCUUUGGAAAAAUGGUGUGAAUUGCUUCAAUUGGCUAUGCGCAACUAAGUUCCUUUUCUAGUCGAAGGUCAAUUUGAAAACUCGGUUCCAAGAAUCUGUGAGAUCGAAUUAUUUUACUUAUUUCUUUUAUUCAUUGGUAGUCGUGCUUUUUUUUAUUUAAUUUUUUAUGAUUGUUUUGUUAUUUGAAUGUCAAGGGUCCGAUAUUUGAAUUAAUCUAAUAAUCUACUACCAAAUUAAUCGGUUAAAUCCGUAAUUGUUUGAUUGAUUAGUACCAGUGGCGACUAGCGUGAUUAGUCCCAUGUUAGGCAAACGUAUGAUCUAAUUUAAAUAAACCCUCGUAGCGUGUUUGUUGGUUAGAGUUGGACUUUUCUAAUUCUUAAUACAAUUGAAGAAUUGAAUCCUACAGUCGUACUUAGGGUUAUUUUUUUUGUUAGGAAAAUAGUUAACAGUCGUACCUUGACUAUCGAAAAGGUAAGGAAGAGUUGAUUGUUUAUCGCAUAUAUGGCAACUAUAACCAAUCUAUUUAUGAGUAAUUGAAUUAUCUUUGCAUCAAUGAUCAGUUGAAUAGACCGUGUCUGAAAAGUUGCACCUUUGGCUAGAGUCGUAUCUAUUGUUGAUUAAUUCCUGUUUAUUUUCUUGAGUUGCUUUAAUUUAGUUAAUUAGUUAUUUUUAUAUUUUUUAUAACAAUCCCCCGUAUUUUGAACUUGAGGAGAAACGAAUUUCCCCAAUCCCUGUUGAUUCGACCCUGCUUACCACUAUAUACAAAAUUUAUACUUUAUUUGAGCAGGUAUUUAUUAUUAUAUAGUCUCGACAACCUGUCAACUUCCAUUGACACUUUAGCUUCUUUUAAUUAAAUUGGUUUGGGCAGAUAGCGUACGAUUUAACAAUGGCGCGCAUGUUUUUGCAAGAAAUUUUCUACCACUCGAUUUUUAUGGGAGCAUGUUGCACCAAAAUUUUAACCCUAUAUCUUCUUAUGGCUAACAUUCUGAGCAUUCAAUUUUGGUUUUUCCCCUUCUGUUCCUAUGGAAAGUAAAAAAAAAAAAAGAGAACAAGAAAGGUAUAUACUAAUUUGAACGGUCCCCUAUCAGUGCUAAUUUCUUGAUUAGAGUUCUAUUUUAAUGGCAAAAAGUUUGAAAAGUUCAUUAUGUAAUUCUUGAAUUCCUCGUAAGGUCUUCUAACGGUACACCUUAGAGAGCCCUGAUUGAUGCUUAAUUUUACAUUCUUUUUGAGGGAUAUUAUUGAAAACAGGUAAUUUUAUUAGUGAAAACAGAGUACUAUUACAAAAACUUAUUUUUAUUUAAGCCGCUCAAAAAAAAUUCUUUUAAAUGUACCACUCUAUUUCCUCUUCGUUUUUUGCAGUCAACUGUCGCCGGUGAAUGAUUUGGUACUUUUUUUUUUAACCUUCCAUACUUUUGAACCGUUCAGCGAAAAUAAUUCCCGGGAAGAAUAGUGUCGAAAAUAAUAGAGAAUUAGCUAUGAGAAGCAGCCAGAAAUUCAAUCUUAUCUUUUUCAGAUUUAGAUCCUCUAACAAAAUAUUUUUUUUUGUUCAAUAAAAGUUUGAAUGGAUUCGAAUCCUCUAACUAAAUAAACUUAAUCAGACAUGCAAUAAUAAAUUAGAUCAUUAAUUUGAUCCAAACUCAAAAAGGUUUUGUGAUAAAAAGGUAGUAUCCCAAGCCAUUGAAAUUUUCCACAUCACCUAGUCAAACCUUAUUAAUUGUUUCUAGAAGUGAAGCAGUUAAUAUCAAUGUUUUCAGUACCAGAUCGGACCGGCCGGUUCGACCGAUUGGACUACGAACCGGACAUGCCACCGGUCCAGUCCAAUGCUAAAGCCGGAAGUUCAUGGAAAACCGUUAAAAACAGGACGAACCGUUAAAAACCGUUCGAACCGUAAACCGACGGUUUUUAAAAAUUCUUCAACAAAGUAUCAAAAAUGAUGCAGCUCCGAUUCGAACCUUUCGAACAGUAAACCGACGGUUUUUAAAAAUUCUUCAACAAAGUAUCAUCAAGAAUGAUGCAGCUCUGAUUCAAACCUGGGUCUCCAGGUUUGCAUAUGACAAUCUUACCGCUAGACCACAGUUGAGUUUGUUGAAUAUUCUAUUUGACUAAUAAAUAUAUUAAAACAUCAAGUAUAGAAAAAGCAAAGUGCAUUAGUGCAGACGAACUUUUCUAAAUUUUCUUUCCAUCAUUUUCUUUCUCGGCUUCAUCAGGCGGCGCUCUUUAGUUCUUCUCUUGAUUUUUUUUUCAAUUUUUUCUUCUUAACCAUUUUAAACCCAAAUAUCCACAACAAGAUUUUCUCAAGUCUUCACCAUUAUUAUCAGGUUAUCAUCUUUAGCAGAUUGUAAACAAGUUGGAAAUUUCAACUUUUCUUGUUUUCCAUCAUCUUGGUAAGUUUAAAUUUUCUCUUUUCAAGGUUUUUUUUCUAUAUUAUUAUCUUUAGAUGAUUUUUUGCAUUUUCUUCUUUUUCCCCCCAAUUUUCAUCUGUUUCUCUAAUUUUUGUUUUUAUUUUAAUUUGAUUAAUUAAUGAUGAAAUUUUUGCAAAAGUAGCGCACCUCCGUGUAGGAAUUGGGUAGGAAUUACAAAUAAUAACAUUGGGCUAGUAAAAAAUAUAGUAGUUGGCACAUAAUCGAAGCUAUUGAUCAUUGAAUUUAAAAUAAUUAAUGGUAUAGGAUCAUUGAAUCUAAUAUAACAUGUUAAUUAGUGAUGUUUAGUAGCAAUUAAUUUUUUAUGUGUUUAACUAUAUAUUUGUUUUUAAAAAACUUUUAGUUUUUUUUUAGUUUGAGCAAUUAGAUUUAUAUUUUUAUAAUAAAAUUUUAACUUUUUGAAGUUAAGUUGAUGAAAUUGUGAAGGUGUUUUUGAUGCUUAUCCUGUCACUGAUGGAAGUUUGUUAUUCAAAUGGUUUGUCUUGAGUUGAACUCUUUUAUGGAUAUUUUAAGGAUUGUAAAAGAAUUUCAAUAUCUAAUUUAUUUAUUUUUUGUGUUUUUAUUUGUGAUAAUUGGUGAACAUUUGGAUUGUAUCUAUUUAUGUUUGUAAUGAAUUUAUGAAAACUUGUAGUGAAUUAUGAUAUUUUAAUUAUGUUUAUCAUUCCAUGUUUUAUGUGUAACAUUUAGGAAAUUUAUUAUUAUCUCAACUUAAAUUUAGUUAUAUUGGUAAAUGCAUUUUAGAAACUUAAGUUAUCGAUAAUCAUAUUAAAUUGUACAUUAGCUAUCAAGUUCAAGCGUAGAAUGAAACCUGCUUCGUUUAAAAAAAAAAAAAAAAAAAACCAAUGAACCUGUGAACCGGCCGGUUGGACCGGUCAAACCGCGAACCGGCCACCUCUCCGGUUUGCUGACCGGUCCGAGUUUAAAAAUAAAUCCAGAGGUGUUCGGUGAUCUUUUUUCAUGACCUGGAUUUUGUAAAUACAGAAACUUCUGUGCCUCUUUCUUGAAAAUGAUAUAUGCGCUUACGUUAAGGAUAAGAGAUGCUUGAAAGUCUUUCUUAGUAGUUCAACUAAAGCGGUUUGCCAUUUUCAACUCUAAGAAAAGAAAUAGUUCAACUAAAGCAAUAAAUAUUCUCUUAGACCUUUUCUACGAUAAGAAAGGAUACAUACAGAAGUUUAAGGCUUGAUACCCGCUUAGCUAUAUACAAUUAAAAUGAUAUAUUUUAAACCCAUUGGAAUUUUAAUUAGGUAUGGUCACUUGUGGUGUUAAUGUAAAACAUUCUGUUAUAUCAAUUACUGUUCAUUAGCAUCAAUUAGGACCUUACCUUAUAUAAUUUUCUCCCAAAUGAUCUCAUGUGCAAACUGGUGUUGGUUUCCUUGCAACCAUCUUGAGUUUGAGGAGAUGUUAUUUUAAAAUUAUUCUUUUAUAUCAAUUACUGUAUAUUAGCAUUAAUUAAAAUCUUACCUUGUAUAAUAUUAAUCUAGAUUCAUUGAUUUUAAAUGUCGAGGUUCAUUUUACAAAGCCUAUAUAUAGGCAUUGUGCUGUUGUACAAAUCAAGAAUUCAAUAAACAAUAUUCUCCCAAAUGAAUUCCUCCAACAUGUGGUAGCUUAAAUUCCAAAUUAAAAGCUGUAAACAAUUAACUAAAAUGGUAAUCAGUUUAUGUAACACAUUAGUUUGGGUCUUUGAACUAGAAAUGAGAAGUGCUUAUAGUUAGAAGGCUACAUAUACUAUACAUCUUGCAGUUUUUCCUGCCUGUAGUUGACUGCCCGAAUUUUUUCCAGUUUAUUUUUGGUUAAUUCCAAAUAUUUUCCCAUAUACUGGAAAUCAUUUUUUUUUAACAUCAUGUUAAUUAGUUCAGUAUCUUAAAGAAACUCAUUAUUCUCUUUCUUAGUUUAACUAGUUUUAAACCCUGUUCGUUGCACAGGGAUUAAUCUUGAGAGGGUUUGGUCCAUUGUAAUACUAAUCGAAGUACAUGCUGCAGAAUAAUAAUUGAAACUUUCAAAAAUUUGAGAUAAGAAUAAAGGAAUUUAGAUUGCAUCUAGUAAAUUAGGUAUUAAUUUUUCCACACUCUCUACGGUCAUUAGGAUUACUUAAAACUCAAAUACUGAAGAUUUGAUUGAAUCAAUUCAUAAUUUAAGGAUGUUAGUAAAUUACACACUGAUGUAUUAAGAAAUAUGAUGUACGUCAGGCAACCCAUAGCCGCCUCUUUUGUCGACUUUCAAGUGGAGAUGGCAAUGGAUGUUUGUAUUAGGAAACUCAAAUCUUAACCUAACUUAUUAGACUUUUGUGUUGGGUUGACUUAUACGAUUAAAAUAUUUUUGAUACGAUGGAUUAUUUAAAUCAACUUACUGAUUUAUGCUAGAAAGAGUCUAGUAUUUUAAUCACUUAUUUUAAUCCCAUUUGAUCAUGUAAUCGAUUCAAUAUUGCUGUUAUUAAAACACAUCAUAAAUUUUUUGAAAUACAUAGUCAAUGCAAUAUUUAAAUUUUCAGAACAUUAAAAAAAUACAUAACGAAGCUCUCCAAGCAUAAUAUAAGCUACAAAUUAGGCCUUAUUUGGAUUGCUAUUCUUUUAAAAAAUUUCUCCAUUUUCCGUGAAUGUUCCUCUACAUAUUUUUUAAUCACCUUUUACCUUAUAUACAUCACUUCCUAAAAGUACUAAAGUAAUUUUUCUCCAAAAACUCUCUAGGAAAUGCGAUCCAAUCAACCUUUUAGAAACAUGGUCAAAUAGAUCUAUAUAUGAUAAGAUAUAAAACUUUUGAGUUUUUUAAAACUUCUAAUUGAAAUCUUCAAGACAAAUUUGAUCGUGGUUAGUUUUUACUAAAUACUCAAAACGGCCUCCGUAGUGCUUAAUUAUUAUCAUAAAAUCAGCAAUUUAUUGGGUUAGUGUGUCAACUUUCGGGUUGACUCAACCCAACCCGCAUACAUUCGUGUCACUAACAAGUUGAUCGAAUAAUGACCUACUAAAAUUCGGGUCAUGUUAAAACUUGUUAAUUUCAAGUCUUGUUAUCAUGUCGUGUCAGAAAUUAUCACCCAUACUUGAUGCAUACUGAUACCAAUUCCAUUGACUGGUAGGGUAAGGCAAGUAUGCUAAAGCAAUUAAAGGGACAAAAUUGAAAUUCCAAUGCACAUAACCAAUGGAUCCCAACACCAAGAAACCUUCGUGAAUUGGAUUUAAAUGUGCAAGACUGAAAUAUUUAUGCGUAAAAAAUAAAUAAAAAAUUUAAAUCUCUUGGAGAGUGUAAUUAUUCAACAAAGCCCCAGAAAAGACAAAAAGAACCACACUAUUACUACCUCAGAGCCCAAUUUUGCUAAACAUAAAUACUAAGAAAUUUCCUUCUAAGUCUUUUCUUAUCAAACACACGACUGUCUUGUUAGAAAAAUUGCCGACAUUUGACCAAUUAUGAGCUAUUUCUCCUUGGUGAAGUGUUUGAGUAGUAAUACUCGGACUCGAACAAUAAGGGGAGUUCCAGCUUUUAUGGGACUUAGCAAGAUGUAGACGGAGAAAGAAUUAGUUGAGUCCAAUUGAUUGUUCGAGAUGCAUCAAAGAUAACUUUUUCCCCGAUCUGCAUGGCCAAAUCUUUUUGGCAUUUACAUGGUAGAGCACCAAACCACCCAUGCAAUUCCCCAUUGUUCAAGUCUGAAACAUCACAGGGCAGCUCUACAGGAAGUUAAAGGUUAUGUUUAAUCACCACAAAAUGCAUCUUUUAAUUUAAUUUAAUUCACAUAUACAUUCAUAAAACAUUGAAAAGUCACGGGUGAUUAAGUAGACUUCAACUAUUACCAUGUUAUUGAAAAACUUGACGAUGACUUUGUUUCUAAUUUCAACAACAUUGUUAUCAACUCAUUUGUCAAAUCACAUCUUACAACUAAUCAUUAGUGAUAGGUCGUAAUUUCGUCAUUUAUUUUAUAAUUAAUUCUCUCCUAUUAUCUUACCAAAUGUGGUUUAUUGGGCAGAUUUUAUUCAUUUUUGGGAAUUUGUGCUGAUUGCAGGGAGUUGGAAUAAAAUAUGGUAAAAAGGCACAAAUUUCUCGCUACAUUUGCUAAUUGAUACGGGACAUCCAGAGUUGCAAAACGGGGUCACAAAGUCUGCUAACAGAUGCAAUUGCUGGCCAUAUGUCCUCGGUGAACAUGAGAUACACAGGAUUAAUUCCUGUAGCAAUAAAUAAAAGAGUUUGAGUAGUAGUAGGAAAAGGGGAGAUUGUUAAGUGGCUAAUUGUACAUAUAAUUGGUGAAUAUUUUCCCCUUUAUUUUGCUAAAAUAUGGUGUUAAUCGAUAAAUUUCACUCAUAUUUGAUUUUGGGUGUUGCUUUUAGGAAUUGUUGGUGUGGAGUAAAAGGUGCAUUAAAAGCCGAAUUUCCAGGAGACAACACUUUAUAGGGCGUGACCACGUCUUCACUUGAUGAGAAAUCCAUGCUUACGGGAGUUGAAGCGGGUCACCAUUUGAAUCUUUGCUAGCAUAUGGGAAGUCUGUGGAUAUCUUUAGAAAUAGACAAUCUAUUAUUUCUAUCUAGUAGUGUGAGUUGAAUAGGAGUCUUAAUCCUUUCUUUAUUGGAAGAAGCAUAUGUGAAGUGGGAUUCUAAUUAGUUUCCUAAAGGGAAACGUUUUUCUUUGGGUUGGAACACACGUUAGUUAAAAGGGGGGACGUAAGCCUUCAGCUGGGCAUCUCUCAUUCUUUCUCUAUCUCUGAUUCCUUUUUCCUCUUUUUCUCUACAAUAAACCCUAGUAUUUUGUGGCCGCGAAUCUACUGGGAGGAGCGGCUAGUUUCUUUUCUAGUUGAAGGAUAAUUGAAACUUUGGUUCGACAAUACUGUGAGAUCUAAUUUGAUUUGUUUGGUUCAUUUAUUUAUGAGUAUUUAUAUAUUCUCUGUUCAUUCAUGAUUAUGAAUAUUUUUUACAGUUGAAUACCUUAUCAAAAUUUAAUUGUCGAAAUAGUCUAUUGCCAUCUGAAAUAUCAAAUCCGUAAUUGUUUGAUGGUUUUAGUAUUUGUGGUGAGUGAUAUAAUUUGAUUGUAAAAGAGACUUUCGAAUUUAUGUCAUGGGAAUAUAUAAUCUAACUUAAAUGAACCGUGUGUGUUUGUUGGUUAGAAUUGGUAGCUUUUCUAAUUAUUAAUACUGUCAAUAGGUUAAAUCCUAAGAGAUUGUUUAGGGUUGCUUAAUUGGCAAGAAAAAUAGCCACAGAGCGUGUUGUGGUUAUCGAAACAGUAAGAAGAGGCAGGUUGUCAGAGCGUGUUGACAACCAUAACAAGUUUAUUUAUGAAUAAGUGAUUUCACCCUUGCAUUGAUGAUCAGUUAAAUGAAUCAAAGUGGAAAUUAGACCUUCGACUAGAGUAUUGUCUUUCAGUGGUUUAGUUUUAUUUAAUUUUGUGAUGCUGUCUUUAUUUUUAUUUAAGUGAGCUAUUUAGUUAAUUUCUCCUAAUCCCUCAUUUUUCACAAAGAAAUAGAUCACCCAGUCUCUGUGGAUACGACCCUACUCACCGCUACACUCGAAUUCAUAUUUUAGAGUAGGAACUUUUAUUUUUGCUGGUUUGACAAGUCAACAAAUUUUGGCGCUGUUGCCGGGGACUGGUGCCCUAUUGAUUUAUUUUCUUUGAUUUAUUUUUAUUUUUAUUUUCCCCUCAUUCUGGAGUUAGUUUAUGGCUAACUAUACUCAACAAUUUGGUGAUAGACAGAAUUUUAUUCACAGGAGGGUUGAUAAUGUGGGUAUCUCUUCUAUUGAUCAACGUUUACAUUUUCUAACAAUUCUUGUUGAAAAGUUGGUUGAAGGGCAAGUACAACAAAGAAAAACUUGUGGAAUAUGUUAUACCUCAAAUCAUCCAAGUAACAUGUGUCCCACAUUACAAGAUGGUUUGAAUACCCAAGUUUAUGCUGUUGGAGGAUUUCCAAAUCCGCCACAAAUGAGGUAUGAUUCGUGUUUCAACAUGUACGCUCAAGAAUGGAGGGAUAACCUUAGCUUUAGUUAUGCAGUGAGGCCGCCAAAUUUUCAACAGCAACAACCAACUUUUACGUCAAGUAUAUCUCUUGAAGAAAUUGUUAAAUCAUUAGCUACUAAUAUACAACAAUUUCAACAGGAGACAAGAAUGCAUAUUCGAAACCUGGAGAAUCAAUUGAGUCAACUAGCAUCUACAGUGAGCCGAAUGGAGUCUCAAAUUUCAAAAGAAUUGCACUCGCAGACCAUUGACAGCUCUAAACAAAAUAUGAGUGCAAUUACCCUGAGAAGUGAUGAAGGACUGCAAGAGUUUCAAAAAGUAGGAUUCAAGCAUGCAGUCGAAGAGGAAGUUGAGAAAGAAGGAAUGAGAUCCCAACCUCAAACUUCUUCAACGAAAGAGUCUAAUAAACAACUCUCAACUGUGGUGAUAUAUCCUCCAUUCCCUGAUCAAUUUACAAGAUCCAAUGAAGAGGAAGAGGAGCGAGAAAUUCUGAAAAUGUUUACCAAAAUUGAGAAGCUGAAUUGCAAUGAGAAAAUUUGUAUGGAGGAAAAUGCUUCAGCCAUACUGCUAUAGAAAUUACCUCAUAAGUGUGAGGAUUUAAAAGUUUUUGAGGGGGAUGGCUUGGAUAAGAUAGGAGUUGCAAUGAUCAAACAUCUUGAAUCGAGAAACAAAGUAGCUCGUUUGCUUCAGAAUUACUAGCACGAGGAUGAAGUAAUGAAACGAGCUAAAAGAUUUUAUCCCCCUUGAUCGAACAUGGUAUCGUCUAACCAAAGACGUUAAAGAAAUGCGCUAUUUUAAUUUUUAGUCAUUUUGUGUUUUUUAUUUCAUAUUUUUGUGUUAAAGUUAAGUUUAUUUCGUUUCUUUUUGACAAAAGGCUUUUUGUUGUAGGCCGUGGACGCACUCAUAAAAGUUUCGCUUUGAUUGGGUAAAAAUUCCUUGGGCAGAAGACUUCCUGUUAUAAGACGUGCCUACGUUUUAUGUCCAGAGGGCAGUGUUCAUUUUAGGUUGGAUUGGACUGACAACUAUCUGUUACAAGACGUGCCCAUGCUCUAUGUCUAGAAGGCAUUGUUUGUUUUACGAUUGGAUGGACAGAAGACUAUUUCUUAUACAGCGUGCCCACGUCUUACAACAAAACCUCCAAUAUCGCGAUCCCAAGUUGAACCUCACUACGUGCUUCGCUUGCAUUGAUUUUUAAGCAAAUUAUUCCCUCCCGAAUGUUUAGUUCAAUAAUCAGGGAAGUCCUCUUUUCUUCUUUUUGCACUUAAGUUUCAUCCAUUGAGGACAAUGUCUGAUUUAGGUGUAGGGGAGGGAAUAUUUCAAGUAAAAAUUUGUCAUAAAAAAUUUUUCAAAUCUAGUUUUGGAGCUUCUAUUUUGUUUUACGAAAAGCAAUCAAGAUGCAAAUAUGAAUAGUGUAAUGUUACUAGCAUGAGUAUGUUAUUUCCUUGCAAUUGAUUUGAAUGAUGGAUGUGCUAGAUUUGACAUAAUUUUAACCACUUUGUGAGCUUUUGGACUUUAUGAGCAAUUUAAUAUAUUUUGCUCUAUCUUAUUUUGUUGAGUGAUAUUACACAUGAUUUGACAUUCUAGAACUUGCUUUGUUAUACAUGUUGAGACCACUUUGUGAGCUUUUGGGUUUUAUGAGCAAUUUAAUAUAUUUUGCUCUAUCUUAUUUUGUUGAGUGAUAUCACACAUGAUUUGACAUUCUAGAACUUGCUUUGUUAUACAUGUUGAGACCACGAUUGAAUUUCAUGCAUUAAAAUGAUAAGGGCAAUUAGGCUUAACCAUUUUUUACUUUCUAAAUGCCUUCCCUAAUUAUGUUCACCCAUAGUUAACCCUAUUUGAGCCUCAAUCUUUUUCUUUAUUUAAUAGCCAAAUUUGUUACCUUAAACCUUUUUGUUUAAACCUUCUCAUUUGAAUCUUGUGUCAACGGAAUACCAUAAUAUUCUUGCAUGAAAACUUCAAGUGUGUUCCAAAAGUACGUUUAUGGUUGGCAAGUGUGAUGGUUAUGUUGGUUCAAAAGAAAAAAAAAGAAAGAAAAAAAUGCAAAAAUGAAAAGAAAAUACAAAAAAAAAGAAAAAAAGAAAAGAAAAAAUUUUGGUUGUGAAGUGCACUUGCGUUGUCUUGUGGCAGUUGGGAUAAUGCCCAAAUUGCGUUUGCACUUGCCAAGUUUAGUGAAGUUAUUGACACUCCUGGAAGUCAGUUAUACAUGUGAAUGACAAAGGAGUUUGACUUCAUGCAGAGUAUUAUGGAUGUUUCCUUUAAUAUAUGUACACCUAAAUAAUUUCCUUUUAUCCAACCCUUAACCCAAGCCCCGUUAUAACCCUUAUAAAGACCCUUGGAUUUUUGUAUCGAAUUCAUUUUAAGUGGUAGAAAUGUGAUAUAUUAGCAAGCUUAUGGUAAUGUCAUUUCAUGGAGUUGAUUUGAGUGUUAAAUAUCCCUUAAACACUUGAGUACAGAGUGUAUACACUAUUAUCCGUGUGAGAGCUGUAGAAUUUUGUGCAUCCUGAUUUUGAUAAAAUUGUUGAGAAGACAUGAUACUUGUGUUAGUAUGCACUGUGCUAUGAAAUAUUUGCCAUCUUGAUUGUGAUUCUUGGGUAGUGAAUGCUUGAGGGCAAGCACUGUUUAGGUGUUGGAGAAUUUGUUAAGUGGCUAAUUGUACAUAUAAUUGGUGAAUAUUUUCCCUUUUAUUUUGCUAAAAUAUGGUGUUAAUCGAUAAAUUUCACUCAUAUUUGAUUUUGGGUGUUGCUUUUAGGAAUUGUUGGUGAGAAUGGAGUAAAAGGUGCAUUAAAAGCCGAAUUUCCAGGAGACAACACUUUAUAGGGCGUGACCACGUCUUCACUUGAUGAGAAAUCCAUGCUUACGGGAGUUGAAACGGGUCGCCAUUUAAAUCUUUGCUAGCAUAUGGGAAGUCCAUGGAUAUCUUUAGAAAUAGACAAUCUAUUGUUUCUAUCUAGUAGUGUGAGUUGAAUAGGAGUCUUAAUCCUUUCUUUAUUGGAAGAAGCAUAUGUGAAGUGGGAUUCUAAUUAGUUUCCUAAAGGGAAACGUUUUUCUUUGGGUUGGAACACACGUUAGUUAAAAGGGGGGACGUAAGCCUUCAGCUGGGCAUCUCUCAUUCCUUCUCUAUCUCUGAUUCCUUUUUUUCUCUUUUUCUCUACAAUAAAGCCUAGUAUUUUGUGGCCGCGAAUCUACCGGGAGGAGCGGCUAGUUUCUUUUCUAGUUGAAGGAUAAUUGAAACUUUGGUUCGACAAUACUGUGAGAUCUAAUUUGAUUUGUUUGUUUCAUUUAUUUAUGAGUAUUUAUAUAUUCUCUAUUCAUUCAUGAUUACGAUUAUUUUUUACAGUUAAAUACCUGAUCAAUAUUUAAUUCUCGAAAUAGUCUAUUGCCAUCUGAAAUAUCAAAUCCGUAAUUGUUUGAUGGUUUUAGUAUUUGUGGCGAGUGAGAUAAUUUGAUUGUAAAAGAGACUUUCGAAUUUAUGUCACGGGAAUAUAUAAUCUAACUUAAAUGAACCGAGCGUGUGUGUUUGUUGGUUAGAAUUGGUAGCUUUUCUAAUUAUUAAUGCUGUCAAUAGGUUAAAUCCUAAGAGCUUGUUUAGGGUUGCUUAAUUAGCAAGAGAAAUAGCCACAGAGCGUGUUGUGGUUAUCGAAAUAGUAAAGAGAGGCAGGUUGUCAGAACGUGUUGACAACCAUAACCAGUUUAUUUAUGAAUAAGUGAUUUCACCCUUGCAUCGAUGAUUAGUUAAAUGAACCAAAGUGGAAAUUAGACCUUUGACUAGAGUAUUGUCUUUCAUUGGUUUAGUUUUAUUUAAUUUUGUGAUGCUGUCUUUAUUUUUAUUUAAGUGAGCUAUUUAGUUAAUUUCUCCUAAUCCCCUAUUUUUCACAAAGAAAUAGAUCACCUAAUCCCUGUGGAUACAACCCUACUGAUAGUCAACAGAGAUCAAGUUAGAAUUGUUUCCUUAUCUCAUGGUCAAAAGAUGGUAGACUAGGAGCUAUUGUUUUGGGACUCUUCGCUUUUCUUUUGUUUUGGUAGCUUUUCAAAAGGAGGAAGUCAAUUGAGACUAGGAGACUACACUUAGCCUUUUUUGGAGAGCUGGCCGCCACAAGCAGGAGAGAAGGAAUCUAUUUUUUUUUUUCAGACACAGAGGUAUCCGGGCAUUCGGACCGACAAAUUCCCCUGUAACCCGAGAGGAGAGGCCCUACCCCCUCGAACACCGUAGCCCCAGGCAAGACUCGAAACCUGGUAAGCAUGGCCUGAAGAGGCGCUUGCUACCAGAAGAGCUAACCCAGGAAGGGCAGGAGAGAAGGAAUCUAGCUUUGGGGUUUUUUGGCUAUUUUUCCUAUCUUGCUGAUUCCAUCGUAUGACUAUCCCAAGAAAGAAAAAAACAUUAGUCAUUCUUUUGACUUUGUAGUUUUUAAUUGUUCUUAUUUCAUCGAAUUCAAUCAUCUCAAUUGAGGACGAUGCACUUAACAAUUAUUUCUGCAAUUUUGCGUGAAAUAUAUAUAUUUUUUUUUUGUCAAAAAGAUGGGUUGCUACAAUAAAUUGGCUUUUUUUUUAUAUACAAGGUAGAUUUAGAAUAAUAUUUUGAAAAAAAUACUGUAACGUUUUUUUUUUCGAGCUUAUUAAUUAUAUUUAUUAAAAUAUAAAAAGUAAACAGCAAGCUGUCCCUUCACAAAAUAAAUCCCAGGAGGACCAUCCACCGAUCCACCCUGAAAAAGGCAGACUAGCCUAUUCUAAGGUAAGGAAAACCAAUACUAUCCAACCUAAACGCCCCCCGAGCCAUCGUAGGAAGAUCAGCAAAUUGAAAAUAGCUCCUGUCGCAGCCUUCAUCACAACCCACCUUAGAGAGGCAAUCCGCCACCUGAUUGCCUUCCCGGAGACAAUGGGAUACACUAGCAAAGUGAGUCGAGAGUUGGAGGAGGCGACGCACUUCGGGAUCAAUGCUCCAUGGGUGCCGAAUUGCACGCUUCAAUAUCUGAACCAAGAUCAACGAAUCCGCUUCCACAUGUACUCGACCAUAGCCUUGCGAAAUACACAAGCUAAUCCCAACGAGAAGGGGCCUAGCCUCAGCCUGGACGCUAGAACACCUCCCAAAGAACGCCGAGAAAGCAAGCAGAAACCUCCCCGCACCAUCAUGCAGGACUCCACCGCCCCCUGACCUCCCCGGAUUACCUCUGGAACACCCAUCCGUGUUGAGCUUGAACCCCUGAAUAGGCGGCCUCAGCCACUUGACCACUCUAAUCUCCUUCUGCUGCCGAGCGGAGGCAAUCGAAGUGUAAAAGUCAGCCCAUACCGGAAGAACACUGGCGUACGUGGGGAACGUGAGAUUGAAGAGGGUCCGGACAUCAUUGAAAACAAAUCUAGAGAUGUCUACAGAACCAUAAAAUUUCCCUUCAAAACGUGCCUUGUUCCUGGCCUUCCAGAUAUGCCAGCAAAUUAUAGCCGGAACAACCCGAUGAACAAACCGAAGUUGAGCAUUCUCACCUGCGCGAAACCACCAGCUAGCCAUGUUCCCCCGAGCCGAAUUCCGAGGGUACGAAAUCCCCGCCGGAAAUUCAAAGAAAUUCCAUGUCGCUUCUGCAAUUUCACCCUCACAAAAAAUGUGGUCAAGCGUCUCAACACUCGCCUUGGUACAACAAAAACACUUCGAAGGACCAGCAAUACCGAACUUACCCACCUCGGAAUCCAAAGGCAAACGAUUUCUCAGGAGGCGAAGCAAGAAGAAGGAUAUCUUCAAAGGGAGGCGAGAGUGCCAAGCCUUGGCGAAAACAAAAGACCGUGGCCGAUGUGCCCUAACUAAGUCAAAGGCUGUACGGAACGUGAAGGAUCCCACUUGAGAGGGAGCCCAGACCAUCAAGUCAUCCCCUUCCGCCUCAAUCUGAGGUAGCAGAAACUGCCUGAUGUCCGAUAUAACAUUGCCCAGUACCCACCUCGCCAGUAAGGGGAAAUUCCAUUCGCCACCUGCCAAAAAAUCAGCGACCUUGUGAUCCGAAACAUUGCAUAGCCGCCCUGACAAAGGCCCCGUCCCCAACCAGUUGUCAAACCAGAAAUUCGAGCUCCCCGAGCGAAUGACAAAGGUGAUGUGUUGCUCGGCCAAAUCCCGCACCAGAAGCAUCCUUCGCCACGUGGCAGAAGCCCCCACCGUAUCUCCUACCAUACCUAGAUGGGCAUUACGCACAUACUUAGCCGUCAUGAACUUGGCCCACAGAGAAGAAUUUUGCCGAAACCGCCACCACAAUUUCACCGAGAAAGCAGAAACAAUAUCCGUCAUAGAACGAAAACCCACCCCACCCUCUUCCUUUGGAGCACAAAGCUCCUUCCACCCAAUCCAAUAAUGCUUGGCUACCCCCUCAACUGCUCCCUACAAAAAGUUAGAGAGAAUUCUCUGUAUCGCAGUCAAUAUCGACUUUGGGGGCGAAACCGUAGCCAAUAAAUGUAAGGGAAUUGAGGACAACACAUGUUUUAUAAGUACCAUCUUCCCUCCAGAAGAUAACAGACGAUUCUGCCAUGACGCGAUCUUAGCAUACACCUUAGUGAGUAAGUCCUGAAAGAAAGCCUUCUUCUGUCGCCCCACGAAAAGCGGAGAACCUAGAUAGCGUACUGGAAACCCCCUGUGUGAGAAGCCCGUAAUCCGCUGGAUUACAGCCCUUCUGCUCUGGGGCAUCGCCGGAUGCACCAUAAAACCACUCUUCGAAGCAUUUAUCCUUUGACCCGAGAUUCCUUCAUACCUUGUAAAUGUUCCCAUCAACAACUUCAAAGAAGACGCCGAAGCACUAGAAAAGACAAGGACAUCAUCCGCGAAACCUAAAUGAGAAACUGGAGGGCAGGCCCUAGGAACCUUAAACCCACAAAAACUUGGAUGCUCUUCAAGCCGGAUUAAUAGGCGUGAGAGGACCUCCGCACCUAAGAUAAACAAGGACGGGGAGAGGGGAUCCCCCUGCCGGAGGCCACGUGAAGCUGAGAAGAAACCAUGAGGAACCCCAUUGAUAAGGACCGAAAACCAUGGAUUGGAAACCAGCCGCCAAACCAUGUCUAUCCACCUCUCACCAAACCCAAAAGCGCGCAGGACGUUAAUCAAAAAAACCCAGGACACCCUGUCAUAGGCUUUUGUCAUAUCCAGUUUUAAUGCAACAUUUCCCCCCCUGUUCUUCCGUCCUAUACCUUGAAGUACCUCCUGGGCUAGCAGGAAAUUAUCCGACAGCAGGCGCCCUCGCACGAAGCCACUCUGAUUAGGGGAGACAAGCCGGGGCAACAGAGGGGCAAGUCUUGCGUGAAAUUGUUCCAAUAGAGAUGAACUAAAUCUCUUUUUCUAGUCAAGGAACAACGGAGGUUUUGAUUCUUUUAAAAAUUGUGAGAUCGAAUUAAUUUUAUUUAUUCCUUUUAUUUAUUGGUAUUUGCAUAUUCUCUGAUUGUAGUGCCUAUGGUGGUUUUAUUAAUUGAGUAUCUUGGGCUCAGACAUUGAAUUAAUUUAGCAACCUAAUGUCAAUUGGAGCGUUAAAUCCGUAAUUGUUUAAUUGCUCUAAAAUAGUUGCAACUGGUAUGAUUGGAUUUGUAUUAGGAGAAUAGGCGGGGUAAUCUAAAAUAAUCCUGGUAGUAUGUUAUUUGGUUAGAAUAGAGUUCCUCUAAUACGUAAGGCAAUUGGGGAAUUAAAUCUUACAGUUGUACCUAAAAUUAUAUCUCGAUUAGAGUAGUGAUUAAUGGUCGUACCUUAAUCACCGGCAUAGUAAGGAGGAGUUGACUGUCAUCGCUUGUUUGGCAAUUAUAACUUAUUUAUUAGUUAAUAAUUGGAAUUACCUUUGCAUCGAUGAUCAAUUAGGUGAACCAUUGCUGAAGUUAUUUCUUGGCUAGAGUUUAGUUAUUAUUAAUUUGGUUUUAAUAAUUUGUCGCUUAAGUUUUAGUUGGCUAUUUAUUUUUAUUUGAACCGUUUAAUUAUUACUAUUUUUAUAAAAAAUCCACCUUUGUUAGUUUGAAUUUCAAAAGAAACAAAUAUCCCCAGUUCCUGUGGAUUCAUCCCUACUUAUCACUAUCUAUAGAAAUUAUAUUUGUUUGAAUAGGUAUUUAUUAUUGCACAGGCUCGACAACCUGUCAAUUUUUGGGGCCGUUGUUGGGGACUGGCGUUAGUUAGUUUAUUUUUUUAAGUUUAUUUUCGUUUUAAUUUUCUGAUAUUUUUCUAAUUUAUGUCUCGUUCUUCUCGUACAAAUGAAUUAAUUUUCGAUCCUGAAAUAGAGAAGACCGCACGCCGAACGCCGAACGCGAAAGGAAACUAGACAGCUUAGAGAAGAACAAUCUAGUGCUGCAUCUCAGAGACUUGAUCCAGGAGUUGAAUCAACAAGUUCGCUUGGUGAUAUUUCGAGUGAUUCGGAUCGAGAAGAAAUCACGAUGGCUAAUGCACAGACAUUAAAGGAGUUGGCUACACCUAAUUUAAACCAGCAGCCCUUAUGCAUUAUUUUUUUGAAUUUAAAUGAUAACACCUCAUUUGAGUUGAAAUCUGGCAUAAUUCAUCUUUUACCAUUUUUUCAUGGUUUACCAGGUGAGGAGCCUUAUAAGUACUUGCAAGAAUUUGAUGUUGUUUGCAACAGUAUGAAGCUCCCAAGAAUUACGGAAGAACAGAUAAAAAUGAGGACAUUUUCCUUCUCUCUCAAAGACUCGGUAAAAGACUCGUUGUACUACUUACCUCCAGGUAGUAUCAUCACUUGGGAGCAGUUGAAGAAAAAAUUCUUGAAAAAAUAUUUUCCUGCGUCUUGAGCUGCGAAUCUGAGGAAGGAGAUAUGUUGUAUCAAGUAAUAUCCAGGAGAGUCGGUCUAUGAUUAUUGGGAGAGAUUCAAGAAAUUAUGUAUCAAAUAGCCUCAACACCAAAUAAGCGAGCAAUUGCUCAUCCAGUACUUUUACAAGGGGCUACUUUUCAGAGACAGGAGCAUUAUUGAUGAUGCAAGUGGUGAGGCGUUGGUGAACAAGACUCCUCAAGAAACAUGAAAGUUGAUCGAAGGGAUAGCCGAGAACUCGCAGCAGUUCGAUACAAGGGAGGAUGUCCCGAUACCUAGAAUGAAUGAGGUAGAAACAUCCUCUAUCCAACAACAGUUAUCCGAAUUGACAUAUUUGUUAGGAAAUUGGUUGUAGAAAAUGUAUCACAAGCCAAGGUAUGUGAGAUUUGUAUUUCCAUGGAUCAUUCUACAGAGAUGUGCCCAAUGAUUCAAGAAAAAAGUGCGGAAGCAAGUAAACAUGACUAGUCACGCGCCCGCACCAAAAAAAUAUAUGAUCCGUAUUCGAACACGUACAAUCCGGAUAAGAGAGAUCACCCUAACCUCAGCUAUGGAGGAAAUAGACAAUCAAAUUUUGUACCAAAUAAACAGUAAGGGUAUCAACAACAAUAUCAAUCUCGGCCGCCAUCACCUCCUCCAAACUCAAGUCCGUUUUUAGAAGAAACGAUGAAAUAAUUAAUUAUUAGUAACACGCAAUUUCAACAAAAGACGGAAUUUGAUUUACAAAGUCUAAAGAAUCAAAUGGGACAGAUGCAAGCAAUGCAGAGUCAGAUGAGUCAGAUGGCAAUAUCAAUCAACCAUUUGGAAUCUCAAGUUUACGAAAAGUUGCCGUCUCAACCUGAACUGAACCCGAAAAACGUAAGUGCAAUGACCUUAAGGAAUGGGAAGGAAAUUCAGGAACCCGAACUCGUGGUUUCAAAGGACAAGGAUGAAGAAAAGAUCGAGAAAGAGCUUGAGGAGGAGGACAGAAACAACAAAAAUCCAGUGAUACUCCAUGACCCAAUCAUUGAAUUUAAAACUAACCCACCUCCUUUUCCUACCAGGUUGGAGAGAUCGAAGAAGUAGGACAAGGAGAAAGAGAUUUUGAAGGCAUUCAGCAAGGUAGAGAUCACUAUUUUUCUACUAGAUGUAAUCAAAUAAGUGCCAAAAUACGCUAUAUUUUUGAAGGAUUUGUGCGUCAACCGAAGAAGGCUGAAGGGAGACGAAAGAGUUAUUGUGGAGGAGAACAUAUCAGCAGUUCUACAGAGGAACCUCCCACCGAAAUGCGGGGGAUUCAGGUAUAUUUACUAUCGCCUGUAGGAUAGGUAAUGCUUUGAUUAGAAAUAUCAUGUUGUUCUUAGGAGCAUCAACCAAUAUAAUACCUAAAUCUACCAAUGCUUCUUUGAACCUAAGUCCGUUAAAAGAAAUUGGGAUAAUAAUCCAAUGAACUGACCGAACGAAUGCAUGUCCUGAUGCGUUGGUCGAAGAUGUGUUCGUUAAAAUUAAUAAAUUAGUAUUCCCAACUGAUUUUUACGUACUUGACAUAGAUGAUGAUCAUUUCCCUGACUCCUCACUUUUAUUGUUAGAUAGACCCUUUUUUAUCACAACUCAAACAAAAAUUGAUGUUAAUAAGGCUACCUUGUCCAUGAAAUUUGAUGGAGAAAUUGUUUAUUUCAAUAUUUUUGAGAUCAUGAAAUACCCCUCAAAGUCUAAUUUUAACUCUGUUUUUUCUGUGAGUGAUAUUAAUCUUGCGGUGCAGGAAGUGUUGGAAAUUGUUGGUAGGGAUGAGUUAGAAGUUACUUUAAUCAAACACCUUGAGUUGGAAACAACUUGUGAAGUAGAAUUGAGUGAAGAUCUGAAAUGUACGAUUGGGAUGUUGCAAUCGUUGCCAACCACGAUGACAAGGUAUGAGUUCACACCUAUUUCAUACCCGAACCUCACCAAAGGGUACUACCAUCUGUGGUGUAGGCACCUGUGCUAGAAUUAAAGUCUCUAUCGAACACUUGAAAUAUGCAUAUUUGGGCGAGAAGGAAACACUUUCGAUGAUUGUCUCGGCGGGACUGUCGAAAAUCCAAGAAGACAAGUUAAUCCGAAUUCUUAGAGGGCAUAAGCAGACAAUAGGAUGGACCAUCGCCGACAUUAAGGGAAUCAACCCCUCUGUGUGUAAGCACCGAAUAAGGCUCGAAGAAAAUGUCAAACCUGUACGGCAAGUUCAAAGAAGGCUCAAUCCCCUCAUGAUGGAAGUGGUGAAGAAGUACCAAAGUUGCUAGAUGUGGGAAUCAUAUACGCAAUAUCAGACAGCCCAUGAGUGAGCCCGAUACGGGUAAUCCCAAAGAAGUCAAGAGUGACAGUAGAGACCAACCAAAAGAGUGAGCUCAUAUCAGUGCGCAAAUCCACCAGAUGGCGGCAGUGUAUCGACUACCGAAAAUUAAACGCUGUAACAAAAAAGGACCAUUUUUUCCUUCCUUUUAUUGACCAAAUGAUUGAGCGGCUAGCUUGUCGAGCUUACUACUAUUUUUUGGAUGAAUUUUCAGGGUAUUUUCAAAUCGCAAUCGCACCGCAGGAUCAAGAGAAGACCACCUUCACGUGCUUGUUUGAAACUUUUGCAUACAGGCGAAUGCCUUUCGGAUUGUGCAAUAUCCCUAUGACAUUUCAGAAAUGUAUGAUGAGCACUUUUCAGAAUAUGUAGAGAAAAUUAUUGAGGUUUUCAUGGACGACUUUAGUGUAUAUGGUGAUAAUUUCAAUAAUUGUCUAGAUAAUCUGAAAUUGAUCUUGUUGAAAUGUAUAGAAACUAAUCUCGUACUUAACUGGAAAAAAAAUACCAUUUUAUGGUUGAGUACGGGAUAGUUCUAGGUCAUGUAAUAUCCUCUAAGGGUAUUGAGGCCGAUCAGGUUAAAAUAGACAUUAUAUCUGUUUUACCUUACCCCGCGAGUGUGCGGGAAGUGCAUUCUUUUCUUGGACAUGUAAGUUUCUACCGAAGGUUUAUCAAGGAUUUUUCGAAGAUUGGAUCUCCUCAGUUCAAACUCUUACAGAAAGAUGUGGCCUUCGAGUUCGAUGUCAAUUGUGAGAGAGCAUUCAACAAGUUAAAGAGGUUACUGACCUUACCACCAAUCAUCCAACCUCCUGACUGAAAUCUCCCAUUUGAGAUCAUGUUGUGAUGCCAGUCAUCAUGAAGUGGGAGCAGUGUUGGGGCAGAGAAUAGGAAAAACAGCCAAUGCCAUCUAUUACGCAUCAACCUAAAAUAGACAUUAUAUCUGUUUUACCUUACCCCGCAAGUGUGCAGGAAGUGCGCUCUUUUCUUGGACAUGCAGGUUUCUACCGAAGGUUCAUCAAAGAUUUCUCGAAAAUUGGAGCCCUUCUGUUUAAACUCUUACAAAAAAUGCAGCAUUCGAGUUCGAUGACAAGUAUGAGAGAGCAUUUGAUACAUUAAAGGAGCUAUUGACAUCACCACCGGUCAUCCAACUUCCUGACUGGAAUCUACCUUUUGAGAUCAUGUGCGAUCCAGUGAUCAUGCAGUGGGAGCAGUAUUGGGGCAGAGAGUAGGAAAAGCAGCCUAUGCCAUCUACUACGCAUCAAGGGCUUUGAAUGGAGUUCAAUUGAAUUAUUCCACCAUAGAAAAGAAGCUUUUAGCAGUUAUUUUUGCUUUAGAAAAAUAUAGGUCAUAUUUAUUAGGAGUUAAAGUCGUUGUAUAUUCUGAUCAUACAGCUCUGAGAUACCUGAUGACAAAGAAAGAUGCAAAGCCGCGGUUGAUACGAUGGAUACUACUCCUAUAAGAAUUUGACUUGGAAAUCAGAGAUAAAAGAGGAGCAGAAAAUCUGAUGGCGGAUCACUUGAGUCGCGUACCAGUUGUCGAAAAAGAAUUUCCACUAAAAGAAUCUUUCCCAGACGAACAUUUACUUUCUGUGAAUUUUUCUUUGUCUUGGUAUGCUGAUAUCGUGAAUUAUCUAGUGACUAAUCAAUUUCCUGUAGGAUGGUCUAAGGCGCAAAAGGACAAGUUGAAGAGCGACGCCAAGUAUUUCAUAUGGGAUGACCCUUACAUGUGGAAGAGAUGCGCAGACCAGGUAAUCAGAAGAUGCAUAAGUGAAGUCGAAUUUCAAUCAAUAUUAACUUUUUGUCAUACUCUUACAUAUAGAGGUCAUUUUGGACCAAAGCGAACUACGCAUAAGGUAUUAGAGAGUGAAUUUUACUGGCCAUCGUUGUUUAAUGAUACAUAUCUGUUUUGUAAAUCCUGCGAUAAAUGUCAAAAGCUAGGUAAUAUAGCCCGUAGAGACCAUAUGCCCCAAGUCCCGAUAAUUUUUGUCGAAAUUUUUUAUGUUUAGAGUAUAAAUUUAAUGGGACUUUUCUUGCAUCGUUUGGUUAUAUAUGUAUGUAUUGUUGGCUGUGGACUAUGUUUUCAAGUGGGUGGAAGCUAGAGCCGCUCAGACUAACAUUCGAAAGUGGUUUCAGAUUUUAUUAAAUCUAAUAUUUUUGUGUGUUUUGGGAUGCCAAGGGCCAUUGUUAGUGACAAAGGGACGUACUUCUGCAAUAAGACUGUAGUUGCUCUAUUUCGAAGGUAUUGUGUACUCCACAAGAUCUCGACAUCGUACCACUCUCAAACCAAUGGUCAAGCGGAGGUAUCGAAUAGGGAGAUUAAGUCAAUAUUGGAAAAAAAGGGUCGUCCCGACCGAAAGGAUUAGAGUCUUCGAUUAGAGGAUGCGUUUUGGGCAUAUAAGACUGUGUAUAAGACGCCUAUAAGGAUGUCACCUUAUAGGCUGGUGUAUGGGAAGUCGUGCCACCUUCCAGUGGAAUUCGAGCACAAGGUCUCUUGGGAGAUAAAGCAGUGCAAUAUGAAUUUAGAGGAGUCCGGUGUUCAUCGUAAUUGGACUUGCAAGAAUUGGAGGAGAUCCAGAACAAAACGUUUGAGAACGCAUUUAAUUUAUAAGGAGAGGAGUAGGGCGUUCCAUAACUAACAAAUUUCUAGGAAGACCUUUGAAGUUGACCAGAAAGUUCUCCUAUACAAAUCCAGGCUUAAACUAUUUUCAAGUAAACUGCGUUCCCGUUGGAUCGGCCCUUUUAUUGUUACUCACGUCUUUCACUAUGGUGCAGUAGAAAUUCGGAGCACUAAAACGGACAAAAAGUUUGUAGUGAGUGAGCAUCGUCUCAAACACUAUUAUGAGGACUUUCCAAGUGAAAAAGUGGAGAUGAUACAUCUGGAUACAUCAAAUUGUUCCAAUUGACGACACUUAACCAUGUCUAGCCAAAGACGUUAAAGAAAGGCGCUUAUUGGGAGACAACCCAAUUCAUUUUAGUUGUUUAUUUAGUUAUAUUUGAUGGUUUCGAUAUGUUUUCACUAAGUUUUUUCAGAUUUUUGAUUUAAUUUUUUAUUUUUUAUGAUUAGUAGGUAUCCCCUUGACAUGACGCGCCCACGUCAAUAGGGCUCGUGGAAAUGAGCAAUUCUCAAGUGCUUCAUCAGAAGGGUUUCCACCCUUAUGAUGCGCCCUCGUCAAAUCACCUGGAGAACUCUUUCUUCGAUCCUAGAGCGGAUUGACUGAUAUGACGCGCUUGCAUCAAUAGGGCGCGUGGUAAUGAGCAAUCCUUGACUUCUUCAUCAGAAGAGUUUCUACUUUUAUGACGUGCCCGCGUCAACAGGGCAUGUGAUAACUCUUAAUUCUAUAGAUUUUUAUCAGAAGAGUUGGCACUCUUAUGAUGUGCCCGUGUCAACAAGGCGCGUGUUAACUCUUAAUUCACCGGUCAUUCAUCAGAAGGGUUCUGGCCUUCAUGACGUGCCCACGUCAUGUUCGUGGGAAAGAUAUGUAUUUAAACAUAAUUAAUUAAUUUUCGUUUACAAUCAAAUUUUAAAUUUCAAAUCUCUAAAUUUAAAUUUGAAUUUAAUUUUAAAAAAAAAUCGCACCCUAUUUCUUUUUUUUCCCUCUUCUUUCUUUCUGUUUCUUUCUUUCACUUUUCUCCCUUUCUUUCUCCCAUGUUUUCCCCCUUUUUCCCUUUUCAAUGAAACUCCCCAACCACCGGUGCCACCCCUCGUCUACCGUCCGUCCGACGCUGCCGUUGUUGCCCUUAGAAUUAAUUUUAUUUAUUCCUCUUAUUUACUGGUAUUUACAUAUUCUCUAAUUGUAGUGCUUAUGGUUGUUUUAUUAAUUGAGUAUCUUGGGCCCGGACAUUGAAUUAAUUUAGCAACCUAAUGUCAAUUGGAGCGUUACUAGAGUAAUUAUUUAAUUACUCUAAAAUAGUGACAGCUGGCAUGAUUGGAUUUGUGUCAGGGGAAUACGCGGGUUAAUUUAAAAUAAUCAUGGUAGUGUGUUAUUUGGUUAGAAUAGGGCUAUUAGAGGAAUUAAAUCUUACGAUCGUACAUAGGAUUAUUUCUCAUUUAGAGUAGUGAUUAAUGGUGGUACCUUAAUCACCGACACGGUAAGAAGGAGUUGACUGUCAUCGCUUGUUUGGCAGUUGUAACUUAUGUAUUAGUUAAUAAUUGGAAUUACCUUUGCAUCGAUAAUCAAUUAGGUGAACCAUUGCUAAAAUUAUUUCUUGGCUAGAGUUUAGUUAUUAUUAAUUUGGUUUUAAUAAUUUGUCACUUAAUUUUUGGUUGGCUAUUUAUUUUUAUUUGAACCAUUUAAUUAUUACCAUUUUUAUAAAAAAAUUCCCCUUUGUUAGUUUGAAUUUCAAAAGAGAUAAAUAUCCCUAAUCCCUAUGGAUUCGACCAUGUUUGUCAUUAUCUACAGAAAUUAUAUUUUGUUUGAUUAGAUAUUUAUUAUUGCACAAGCUCGACAAUCUGUCAAUUAGCCGUAACAUCAGUUGAGAGGUUCAAUAGAUCACUUAAUACAAAAAAUUUAGCAAAGCUUGCUAACUAUUACCCAAUAAUAAUUGAUAUGGACAAUCCUGACUGGCGCCUCAUUAUGCAUCUCCCAUUGGAAUUAAUAUCCAAAUAACUACAGUUAACUAGACUUGGAAAAUUGUCCAAAAAAUCAAGGGAGAAUCAGACCAAUCCUCCCUCACAUAUCACUGAUGUAAAAAUUUAGUUCGUUAAAAUGAAAAUGAUUAGUUUUAGUCCCUAACAAACAAAAAAUGAUCACAUUUAGUCUAUUUUCACUUUUUUGAGUGGAUUUUAGUCAAAACUUACCGGGCCCACAUGACGUGCCUAAUUUUUAAAGGAUAAGAAUGGCAAACCACCUUGUCCAGAAAUGUGAGGGACGAACGGUGCAAAACUUUAAUUAAACAUUCAUCAAAAAAUACAUAACUAACUCACCCAGAACAACCCAGAACAACCCUAAUUGCAAACUGCCAGCAGCUAAUUGAAAUUCAUUUGAAGGAUUUGCUGAUUGAAAUGCCAAAUGUGUUGGGUUCAAAGACAAUGACGCAACAAGCGCUGGCAGACUCGGCUAUCUUGGCUUGAUCGAUGGAUGUACCUUCCACAAUUUCUCCACCUUCAUGCAUUUAGGCCAUCUUGACUUUGAUGGAGAAUGAGUUCUUCUUGCCUUCACUAAUUGCACUACCACUGUAGACCAUAACAGCACAAUUGUUGGCCAUCAUUGCAAGUGUUCGUAAAAUGGCUGAAUGAAAUGUCUGACUGGCUAGAAAUUGUAUGUGACUAGUGUUAGGAUACGAAGUAUGAAAAAAAAGGAUAAAAUGAUCGAAGAGCUUAAGAAGAAGAUUAGGGAAAUCAGAAAUGGGGCGUUGAAGUAUGGUUCAAGAAGCUUCUGAUAGGUUACCGUGUUAGGCUCAUAGGAGGAAAAUUAGACAAUGUAGAAAGUUUCAAUGUCUACAGACUCCAGGGAAUGUGCUUUACUAUGCUUGCCUGCUUCAUGUACCAUCUAUGGAUUACCUUUCUUUUUUUUUUUUUUUUUUUUUGCAUUUCUCUUUUACAAUAGAUUUUCUUGUUAUUUUCUUGUCUUCAAUCACCAAUUUCCUGCAAAUGAAUUUCUAUCAACUAAGAGGAGUUUACAAUUAGGGUUCAUUUUGGGUUGAUAUGAAUUGGAGAUUUGCAGGUAAUCACUAUAAGAAAAUUGGUCUUUUGUGACAACAAAAAGUCAUCACUAAAAGCCAAAAAGUCGUCAUUAUACGAUAUAGUGAUGGCUUUUUCUAUUGUCAUAUGGUUAUCACAAAUUCUGUCACAAAUGGGUCCAUGUGGCAGCCCUUUGAAAGUCGUCACAGAAUCCUAUUAUUCAAUGACGAUGACAAAGUCGUCACUAACGGAUAUAAUUUUGUGACGACUUUUCUUGUCACUGUUUCACCUAUGUUUUUGUCAUAGAUGUAGAAAAAGUCAUCACAAAUUUGAAGUUUACAGUGACGACUUGAGUUUGUCACAAUCAGUCCUAUUAUUUAGUGACAAAAAUAAUCGUCACUUAGUGAAAUUGCAUGUUACUGACAACCUUUCAAAUUGAAGAGCUGAAGGUUGUCACUGAGCUUCAUCUUGAAGAGUUGAAAUUGACCAUUACGAAUAUAGCAUUGGCAUAGCAUUUCCAACAAAUUAUAGCAGAACAUUCAAUUUGAUAAAAGACAAAAUCAACGUAGAAUGAAGCCACAAAUUCAUAUAUAUGGCCAUAAAUGUCUGUAAAUUCAUCAAAACAAAAGUGAACCACAAAUGUUGGGUCCCAAAGCCCAUAUAAUAAGUUCAAGUAGUAAUGACCAAUACAUAUCCUUCCCAAAAAAAAAGUACUAGAUUUCUAAACUAAAGCAUAGACCAUAACACCAAUGUCAAAUUUCAACCAUCUCUAUCAUCAUAUCCAACAGCCUCCUCAUGAUCAAUAUUAAAUUAGGCUGCAAUGAUCGAUAUUAGUUUUUAUCAGUUCAUUGUACCCAAACUUAAAACAGGAUAAAAAAAUUUAAGCUCUUCCUUCAGUCAUAAACACUAAAUUCAUAAAAAUGAGGCCCAAAAAUAAGAUACAAAGGAAGAAAUAUUGGAAGCCAUAUGCACCUGCAAGACAAUGUAUGAAUCACCCGAGUAGAAUUUACGAUGAUCAGAUUUUUGUAAAAGAACUAGUUGGAAGUUUCAAUUCUCCAAAUCUCUGUCCCUCUAUAGCAAAAGUUAAGUUCAACCAAAAAAUGGUAUGGUCAACAUAAAAAGAUAGUUAGCAAAAACGGAACCAGCAAAGACAAAUAUGCAAAAUCUAUGAACGUGUUCGGAUUGAAGAUUAUUUGGAAAGGUUUUUCAUGUUAGUAUAGUAGCAAUAAAAGGAGUAACAGAUAUUGAAAGAUCAAUAUAAUCAUCCACUGCAGUCUUUCAACAAGGAUACAUUCUCUGACCAGCUCUCUGAAAUGCAAGUUCUAAAGCUUCUUGUAGCCAACUCUUCGAAGAAAAUUGUGAACAAGACUUUUAAAGCCUACAGGUCCAGUAGUCUUCAAACUUUGAACAGUGACUACAUAAAACAAACAGCAGCAUACAGGCUUAGGAAGAACAGAAACAAUAUCAAGUCAAAACUUAAGUUAUAUAUCAUGAUUUUAGUGAACGAUGCUAAGUAUAUAUCAAAAAUUACUUUAGACAAAUAGCAUCCACCAUCAAGAACAUGAAAAUGUUGUCAAUUUGGUGACUUAAGAAACUAAACUCAUUCUAAAAAUGGGAAAAGAAAACAAACUGGAACUUAGAUGUCACGGAUGUUCUAAUCUUCAACAAGAACCUAGAUGUUUUUGUCAGUAUCUUCAACAAGCAAAUCAUUCUUUGCAAUGAUAUAAUUCUAGAUCACUGAGCCAUUUUGUAGAAUAACAGGCUAACAAAUCGUUGUGUAACUUGCUACCAUCAAAUGAACUUAGAAACUACGUGGAACCAGUUAUGCUUCUACGCAUAUCAUGCACAACUCACUCAUUUUAUGUCUGUCAUUUAAUAGCAGCAGAUUCAAACUGGACACUCAAGUGAGUGGCAUCUCAUCAAUCCGAUCGUAGUCAAUGAAGAGUUGGGCUGCAAAUUCAGAAGACAUACAGCUGAAAUGGUCACCAAUAGGUCCCCUUAUUGCGCUUAAUGUUGUGCCUCCUUUUUUGCAAGAUGUGAUACAUCAUAUUCAAAAGGAAAUACCGAUAUAGUUUCAACAUCAAAUGAAAUCAUCAGAUGCACACAGUGCAAUAACCUCUAAAUGAAAUCUUUGAUGUUGCAUUAACUUGGUUGCUCAAUAAAAUAACUUUACAAAAAAAAACCCUAUAAAGAAGCAAAAGAAAAAAGGGAAAGAAAUAAAAGUUCAAGUUAGGAUAAUCCUGAGACUCCAACAAACCAGAACAAAUUGGAAUCCACAUCUUUUGGAGGCUAUGAAUCAUAUCAAAAACAACUUGUCUAAGAUGACAUGCCACAAGAUAGCUUCAAAAUCUUUAGAGUUAAUUAAUAAGAAACUUCAAAGUACACUUACAUGUAUUGUGUCAGAAACACCACUAUCAUUAGUCAUCGUUUGAGCGAGUUUGAGCACUAUACUCUUCAAAUAAACAUGCAGCACCUCUCUUACAAGCAAACAUCACAGAUUAGGUUGCAUUUCAGAGUAAAACACUAUGAAGAAAAUUUGGGUCUGCAUAGCAUGUAAACAUGCAUUAGAAGAGCUAAUUACCCGUGCAAAUGUAUAGGACAUUUGCCACAGAAUAAUGAGUUAAUGCUGCUACGUCAAAACAGAGUGCAUCAUUUUCAAAACAGAGUCCACUUUUUGCAUACAGUGCAAAAGCAUUAAUGUGCAGAUGAUGGGUAGAAUUGAUCUAUUGGUCGAGAAUGAAGAUCAGAAUUGGAACAUGUUUCUAGUUAGAUUAUGUUUGUUAAUAGCAACUGAUUGACUUUUCCAUAAUCAACUAGGGAAAAAGCAGAAGCCAUCUAGAAAAAAGGCCACGUUCAAUAAGGAAAAAUAAAAUAUAAAAGCAUAGUUUAACGUAGUUACAAGUACCUAACAAGUAAUGGAAAACCAGAAGAAUAGAAGUAUAAAUGCCCCUAAUUGUCUCUUGUAAAGCAACUGCAAUAAUGGCAAUGUUAAUGCUUAUAGAUACAUCAAUGAAUCAAAACAGAAACCAAAGAAAUCAUUCAAGAAACCAGUGUAGAAUCUACAAGUAUACUUGGAAAUAGUGCAAUGAGAUCGUAUGAAGUAAAGCAUAUAGCAAAGACAAUAGCCAAUCCAGCAACCUGCACCCAGUAGAAUAUUACUUAAGAUGGUUAAAAUCAAAAGUCAAUGAUUAACAACAGAAAAGAAAAUUUUCCCUAUUUGAACUUGUCAUCAGAAGCAACCAUUAACAAAUAAAAACAUCAGAAGCAGCCAUUCAUGGUUUGAAGACAUAAUUUUAGUACAAAUUAAUCUUAUGUCCGGGCAGCUGAUACCAUGCACUACUUACUCUUUUUCUUUUCCCUUCACUUUAACUCAACUGAUGCCACCCAUUAGUUGUCAUGCAAAUUGUGUUUUAUGUAGGAUUGUUGCUUGAUGUCUAUGGUUAUGUAAAAUGAUUUCAUUUUACACACUUGACUCGGUUGAUUUUAUACUACUAAUUUUAUCAGAUAUAACUAUAAAUUCCAAAAAUGGAACUUAUUCUAGCAAAGCUGUGCAGAGAAAGAUUAUGUGAAUUACCGCAUACUACAAGCAGAUUGCCUAAAUCCCUACUACCACAACUCUGGCUAAACUACUACUUUAUUCAUAAUGGCUUAUUUAACUAUAUAAGCCAUUACAGAUUGGUUUAUUCUUGGUCCCCUUAAUAACUUCUCUAACAAAUACAACUACAGGGUGGACAACAAUGCUCUUCUACUCCAAAGCUAACAUUUAUUUGUUGCAGAAUCUUUAACGUUCAGUUGGUAAAUCCAGGUCAAAAAAACUCUAAUUCAACAGGGAGGAAACUUAAAAAACUAUGGUAAACUCUACUGCAACACUAAACACCAUAACACGCAAUAAAACAAUCAUAACAAUAACAUGAAUUUAUCACUUUAGGAGUUUGUUUCUCCACAUCAGAGUAAACAAUGUCUAACUAGUGUUUGGUGAUGGUAAGUUUAUAUAGUUAACUUCUAAAGUCAAAGGUCAUAAAUUAAGAUUACACAAUCUGCCUCACUUUCACUUACCAACAGGAUAAUCCACUCGCUUUGCAUAUCUUCUCAUUCCCUCAAUAUCUAGAAGUCGCCAAACUGAUCAAAAUUUCUUCUAAGCUCUUAGAAACUAAAUAUCGAAUUGGCUCCCAAAAGGAUACUUGACUUGUAGAAUAUUAAAGCAUUAUUACCCCAAAAUCAGUUGUAUGUAAGCCAUUAUAGUAUAUAACUACUCUUACAAAUAGAAUCAGAACUGAAAAAUUACAUGAAAAAUAGCACAUGUUAUUAACUUUCUCCAACAAUUAUAAUAAAUCGCUAUCAACUACACGAAAAAGUUUCAAUUUUUAACAUAUCAAACUCAGAAAAAUAGUUCGCUACAAGUAAAAUUUCUACAUCCAAAAUUCAAACAUGAAUUUUCUCAGGGGGUUUGGAUAGUUCGUUUCACAAAGGAUAGCUUCCCAUCCACUUCAUUUCACUCUCACAACUCUCUCAAUCCCUCGCCAUUGAAAGAUUAAAGUGGAAGAUUGGGCUCAUAAACUCAAGAUUCAGCUCACUCGACCUAUAUUUGACAGAAAAUAUCGAAAUUAGAUGAAAAAAUGUAACAGAUUAUUUACCUCAAAUUAUGCCGUGACAACCUUAGCUCUUGUUUCCUUAAGAUUCAGUCUUUGAACUCUGGCUUUCCCCCAAAAUUCAUGGUCAAUUUUCUGUGUUCUGGCCAGCAAGCAAGUGCUACCCCGAGUUAAGGAUUUUUGCUAUCUACAACUCCACUAAAGCUACCCAAAUCUUUUGGGUAGCUCAAAUUACGGAUGAAAAUGGUGGGUUAAAAUGAUUUUCUAGAUAAUUUCAGCAAGAUGAUAGUGGAGAGAGAAGAUGUAGUGUCCGAAGUUGGCAAGAAGGGGGAAAGCAAGUUUUGUCCGAAAUUUUUCUAAUAGCUAGUUUGGGAGUUUAGGAAAGAAAAGAAAAGAACAGAAACCUUAAGUUAGAAAAGAAAAGAAAAGAUUAUAAUAUCUUUUCAUGUUAUUUGGGAGUUUUGGAGAAGAAAGGAGAUGAAAUAACUUUCCUUUGUUUGGAAGGGAGAGAAUUGAAAAGACAAGAUUCAAUUUUACGUAAAAACCCUUAAAUCUUAAGAUACCAUGAGAAUUUUAUUAGGUUAUAUAGUUAUAUUUUAAUCUUUUAAGGGUAAAAAUGACAUAUGGUAUAAUUCAUUUAACUCACUCCACUUUCUCACGUUUUCCGCCGAUUUUGGGCAGAAAGUUUUUCUGACGUGGAAGGGAGCUGACAUCCUUCCGUUUCUUUUCAAUUCUUUCCUAUCCAAAGUCCCAAAUGUGAGAAAGAUUCAACUUUCCUUUGUAAUCUUUUCUUUUCUCACCAAAUCUGCUCUUCCAAACUAGCUAUAAGUGUUAUGAGUGUUUUUGUUUAACUCUUGCUAAAAUGACGUCGUUUCUGUUUCUUUUGUUCAUCCGCCUCUACUCUUUCAAUUUUCAGCUUCCCGCUUCCCUUUUAGCUUCAACCAAAAAAUAACACUUUCAAGUGACUUUUGUACAAACUAUUUGGACCUUUCUUUACAAAAACAACGCCUUCUCUAAUAUUUCUCUUUUUCUUUUCCCCAUCUUUGUGUUAUUAAAAUUGUUUAUUAUUUUGACUUUUUAGCUCACAAGUUGUAUUAAAAUUUUGGAAUAUGAAAAUUUAGUGUUUAUUUGAUAAUUUUUUUACUAACAUGGGUUUUUUUAUCUCUACAAAAAAAUAAUGUUCAAAAACUAAAAAGCUUAUUAAAAAUAUGUUAUGAUUCAAAAAAAUCUUUUAAUGUAAAUAUUUUUUAUAUCAAUUUAAUAAUUUUAUCAAUUAUGUACGAAUUAUGGUCUGACAAGACCUAAGAAUCUGUUUAGUUGAUCAACUAACAAAAAUAGUUUGCUAAUACAUGCAUAAAUGCAAUUGAGGAAUUGAAUCCUACGGUCGUACGUAGGGUUAUUUUUUGGUUAGAAAAAUAGUUAACGCUCGUACCUUGACUAUCGAAAAAGUAAGGAAAAGUUGGUUGUCUAUCGUGUGUAUGACAACUAUAACCAAUCUAUUAAUGAGUAAUUGAAUUAUCAUUGAAUCGAUGAUCAGUUAAAUGAAUCGUGUCUGAAAAAUUGCACCUUUGGCUAGAGUCGUACUUGUUAUUUAUUAAUUCCUAUUUAUUUCCGUUAGUUGUUUUAUUAGUUGGUUAAUUAGUUAUUUUAUAUUUUUCAAAAAUCUCCCAUAUUCCGAACUUUAGAAGAAACGAAUUAUCCCCAGUCCCUAUGGAUUCGACCCUAUUCUAUACAAAAUUUAUAUUUUUCUUGAAUAGAUAAUUAUUAUUGUACAGGCUCGAUAACCUGUCAAUUUUUGGCGCCGUUGCCGGGGGAUUGGUGUUAGUUAAUUUGUUUUCUUUUUGAGUUCAUUUUAUUUUUGAGUUUCUGAUUUUUUUACCUCUCUUUCUCAAUUUUAUGCCCUGUUCCUCUUAUACAGGUGAAUUAAUUUUCGACCUUGAGAUAGAGAAGAUUGCGCAUAGUGCCAUCUCGAGUGAUUCUGAUCAAGAAAACGUUGUUUUGGCUAAUGCUCGAACUUUAAGGGAGUUGGCUGCUCCAAACUUAAAUCAGCAGUCAUUAUGCAUUACCUUUCCAAAUUUAGAUAAUAAUACCCCUUUUGAAUUAAAGUCUAGUCUAAUUUACCUUUGACCUUCUUUUCAUGAUUUUUUAGGUGAGGAGCCCUACAAGCUCUUGCAGGAAUUUGAUGUAGUAUGCACAAGUAUGAAACCCCCGGGAUUACCGAGGAGCAGAUAAAAAUGCGAGCAUUUUCCUUUUCCCUCAAAGACGCAGCAAAAGAUUGGUUGUAUUAUCUACCACCAAAAAGUAUAACAACCUGGGACUAGUUAAAGAAGAAAUUUUUGGAAAAUAUUUCCUUGCGUCUAGAGCUGCUAGUUUGAGGAAGGAAAUAUGUGGCAUUAUUCAGCAUCCGGGAGAGUCUCUCUAUGACUACUGGGAGAGAUUCAAGAAGCUGUGUACUAAAUGUCCCCAAUACCAGAUUAGCGAGCAGCUCCCGAUUCAAUAUUUCUAUGAAGGUUAGCUAUAGAUAGAUAGAAGUCUUAUAGAUGCUGCCAGUGGAGGUGCUUUGAUGAAUAAGACCCUUCAAGAUGCUUGGGAAUUGAUAGAAAGGAUGGUAGAAAAUUCUCAACAAUUUGGCACAAGGGAGGAUGUCCAUACUCGUCGAGUAAAUGAGGUAAAUGUCUCAUCAAUUCAACAACAAAUAUCUGAAUUAAUUUCGGUUAUUCGACAGUUGGUUGUAGGAAAAUUGCAGCAGGCCAAAGCAUGUAGUAUUUGUAAGGACACGAGUUGUCCGACAGUUUGGUGCCCAGUGUUACAAGAUGAAGGAGUUGAACAAGUGAGCAUGACUGGCAACGUGCCCACGCCUCGUAGGCAGUAUGACCCUUACUCCAACACGUAUAAUCCGAAUUGAAGAGACCAUCCGAAUUUCAGCUAUGGAGGCAACAAGCAGCAAAAUUCUUUUCCCAAUAGGCAACAAGGUUUUCAGCCGUGGUACCCCUCCAAAUCCCAAUCUCAUUCAUCAAAUGCUGACAUGUCUUUGGAGGAUAUAGUCAAGACAUUGAUUGCCAACACCAUGCAACUCCAACAAAAUGCCAUUCAAUACAAACAAAGGACGGACACGAGCAUAAGAAACAUAGAAAAUCAGUUGAGUCAGAUGGCCUCUACACUACAUCGUUUGGAAUCUCAGGAGAAAGGAAGACUUCCAUCUCAGCCUGAAGUUAACCCAAAGAACGUGAGUGCCAUGACCCUCAGAAGUGAAAAAGAAAUUAAAAGGCCUACGGUUCUAAAGGAUAAGAGCCAAGAUCAAAUUCAAAAAGAGAUGGAAGAUGAAAGGUGUGAAUGGACAUCUACAAAAAGCAAAUUGAUUUCUCCAAUUUAUGAAGAAUUGUCCUCUCAGACCAUCAUCGACCUUAAGGAAGAUGAGAAUGCAAUCAUUCUAACAAGUGAUAUAGAGUUGCAAAAAUCUCAAGAAGAAGGAUUUAAAGUUGAGAAGGGAAUUGAAGUGCAAGAAAUGAAAUCCCAACAUCAAAUCACUCAAGUGAAUGAAUCCAGUGAACAAUUUUCAAAUGCGGUGACAUCUCCUCCAUUCCUUAAUCAACAUUCUCCUGACUCUUAUUCUUUAAUUCCUAUUAGCAAGAUUGACUUUAUUAUAUCAGAAGGUUUUGAGUUUCAUGACAGGAAUAAGUUAAGAGCUGUGAUGGCAAAAUAUCUUGAACAAAUAAGUACGCGUGAUGGAGGAGUGAGUGAAGAAUUAAGAUUAUUGUUGACUUGUUUGGCGCCAUCUACUAGUCCAUGGAAGACCGUAACUCGUGUGCUUAAGAAUUACUCUAUUUAUAAGGGUUAUUGGGAUUAUGUAGAGGAUGAAACACUGAAACAAGGCACAAGAUUUUAUCCUCCCUGAACAAAUAUGACAAUGUCUAGCUAACGACGUUAAAGAAAGACGCUUAUUGGGAGGCAACCCAAUUUCUUUUAGUUAUUUCUUCAGCUUUAUUUCAUAGUUUCAAUAUGUUUUCUUAGAAUUUUUUCAGGUUUCUAGUUUAAUUUUUCAUUUUUUAUGAUUAGUAGGUGUUCCCCUGACAUGACGUGCCCGCGUCAAGUCACCUGGAGAGCUCUUUUUUCGAUCCUGGAGCGGACUGACUGACAUGACGCACCCACGUCAACACGGCGUGUGGUAAUGAGCAAUUCUUGAACUCCCCAUCAGAAGGGUUUCUACCCUUAUGACGCCUCCGCGUCAACUGAGCACGUGGUAACCUUCAAUUCAACGAUUUUUCAUCAGAAGGGUUCCUACCAUCAUAACGUGCCCACGUCGUAUCCUAGGGAAGGGUAAAAACAAAACGAGACAAUUUUUUUUUUCUUUUCCUUUUCCUUUUGUUUUUCCCUUUUCUUUUUUUUCUCCUUCUCUUUCUUUCUUCUUUCUUUCUCUUUUCUUCUUCUGUUCCUUUCCUUUUUCUUUCUUUCUUUCCUAGGGAAGGCCGCAAGACCGCAACUUUAGGAUCUCAAAUUCCACCGCCACCCGUCGAUUGCCGUUGCCGCCACCAACGAGCUCUACAUGCCCUUUUACUCGUCACCCGUAACUGUCCACGGACCCCCUAAAUUCUCGAAAAGUUUCGUUGUCCCUUCUAUUUCAUCUUUUGAUUCUUUAUCUUUUACAUUGAGGGCAAUGUAAUAUUUAGGUGUGAGAGGAGUAGUAUAUUGGAAAAAUUAAAAUAUAGGCAUUUUUGUUUGAUUUUUUGUCGAAUUUUAUUCAAUUUUUCCUAUCUUUAUGCAUACUUGUGGUUGUUCCUGAUAAACGAUGGUUAGACGUCUCAAAUUUUUCUAUUGCUAAGAUUUUAUAUUCUAAAUUGUUAAGUAUGACAUAGUUAAAUCUAAGAGUAUCUCUUUGGUGAAUAUUUGAGAUUUUGUGACUUUUGCAUUUUUGGGUUAACUUCUCUAAGUAUUGUAAAUAUAUAUCUAGCAAUUUUUUGUGCAAAUUGGUUCAAUUAUUAAUCUUAGUUCUCCAUAUUUAAGAAAUGAAGCAGAUUUUUGUGAUUUUUAAUUUUAAUAUGGUGCUUAUUUAUGAACAGUAUUUGGCUAUACUCCGCUAGUAUUGUUGUCUAGUAACCGAAGAUUUUCACCACAAGUAUCGAUUUUCGCGUCAAAAAGCGACGAUAAUUAUGAAUAUGUGAUCCUUUAGCGAUAAAAGUUGAGUAAUCGGGCUCUUUCAUUUGGCAGAUGUCGGAGUUCACGUCAAAAGGCUUGCAUGGCUAAGGACUAAGAUUUUUCCCUAAAAAAAAGAGAAGAAAAAAAAUAAGAGCUCAAGUAUGGGGAUAUUUUUUAAAAAAUGAGCUAAUAGUGAAAAAUAUGGAGGUGUUUGAAUGAAUUGUUAGUCUGUUGAUCCAUGAGUUUAAUGUUGAGAUUUUGUUUAAUAGUUGAACCGUUUGCUGGCGAAUGUUAGUUGAAUAUUUUAUAUUCUUAGAUUAGUUAGUCAUAAAUUGGAAGAGUUCUUGAUCUUGAAAGCUAACUGGAGAGAUAUUUCUUACAAAUUAUCACUAAUACUUGACAUGUGUUUUAAUUGUAUUUUGGCAAUAGAAGAUUUGAACAAUAGCCAUUGUUUGAAUUUGAUUGCUUGAUUUGUUGUUCUCAUUCUUGAGGACAAGCAUGGUUUAGGUGUGACAGGUGCCGAACCUGUGCAAUAAUAAAUACCUACUCAAGAAAAUUACAAAUUUUGUAUAUAGCGGUGAGUAGGGUCGAAUCCACAGGGACUGGGAAUAAUUCGUUUCUUCUCGAGUUCAGAGUAUGGGGGGUUUUUGAUGGGAGGAAAAUAAAAAAUGAAAUAAAACAAACAAAAUUCAAAACUAACUCACAAAGCACAAUUUACUAAAAAUAGCAAUUAAUAAAAGUUCUACCCAAAGGAUCAGCUGUUCAGGCACGGUCCAAUUAAAUGAUCAUCGAUACAAAAAUAUUUCAUCCAUUCAUCACUAGGUUGGUUAUAGUUAUCAACAAGGUCUGACAACCAGUUCUUCCUUACUUUUUCGACAGUCAAGGUACGAUCAUUGACUGCUUCUCUAACCAGAUAACAACCCUAGGUACGACCGUAGGAAUUUAAUUAUCUAAUUGCACUGAAACUAGAAGAACCCAACCCUAACUAAUAAACAUGCUAAGAGGGUUUAUUUAAGUUAGAUCUUACAUUUCCCCAACAUAAACCCAAUUAUGGUGGUUGUCACUAGGUAUCGACUAAACGAACAAUUACAGAUUCAAUUUAGUUAAUAUGACAGUAGGCUAUUAAAUUAAAUCAAAUACCCUGCCGUUGAUAUUCAAUUAAUAAAAUACCCAUGAACAAUUAAUUCAGGAAACGUACGAAUAGCAACAAAUUGAAAAAAGUAAUGAAAGUUUGAUUAGAUCUCACAGAUGUUAUGGACCGCGCCUUCGCGUUAACCUUUGUGUAGAAGAAAAACCUAACCGCUCCUCAUCGUAUCAAUUUUGCGUGGGUUGGUUGAUUUCAUCCGCACAGUCAUCAGCGAAAUUGGAACGAUGGAGUAAUGACGAAAGAAAGAAAAGAAAACGUCUUCCUUGUCUUUGCGUUAAUGUUCGUACUGAAGCCGAAGUACAACGCAAAAGCCAACGAAAAUUGUACAGAGCCAAAGCCAAAGCCAAAGAGUCAAAAACGUGAAAGCCAAAAAGCAAGAGAAGAGUCUACAACGUCUGACAGUUAGGGAAAAAGAAAACUAAAGCUAUCUAAUUCCUAAUACGUGAAUCUGGCUUUCUUUUUGCCUUUUGUAGCCGCCGCUAGCCAAAGCAAUUAGGAGCAGGACUUGUCUAUGGGUUUUAAUCCCACACAUCUGGUUCACAUGGACCUAGUGCCUUAAUUGGGUCUCCUGCUAUUGGUCCCGCGGAUCCGGCUUUUCGAGAGCAUCUACCUUUUCUGGCAUGGCCACACUCUGAGAUGAAAGGUCUUCUGGAAAUUUGCCUCAAGAGAUUACUUUUAACGCCAAUAAUCUGUAAUUCAUACAAAUAUGAAAUAUGAGCAAAACCUCAAUAUUUAGCACAGUAAGUAGCUAAAAUUAGGACAAAAUAAUAGUACAAAAUGUGCCAAAUAACCGCUCUAUCAAGGUGUGGGGGAAAUUGAUAGGUUGCAUUUUUGUCAUUAAUUUUAUGGUUAUUUUUCUCUUUUAUUUUAUCAAAUAUUGUGUUAAUUAGUGGAUUCUACUUAUAUUUGGUAAUUGUGCUGAUUGUAUUGAUUGUAGGGAUUUGGAGUGAAAAAGAGUUAAGAACGUGAAUUUUAACUAAUUUAUGUGCAAUUCGGCGUGGGUGUGUCAAGGUCCACUUUGUAUGUCCAAAAACUCGAGAUUUGGCACGUGAUUUUCAACCUUGAAUUGGAGUUGGUUUGAAGUCAUGGAAGUCAGGCUUUGCGCCACAAAACUAGUCUCCUAUUCCUAUUAGGACACUAGUAUAGUUAGUUAUCUUGAUUUUUUGAGACAAUCUUUUUAUCUAGUAGAAAGUUUAUUUUAUUUAGGAAUCUACAAAAUAGGAGUGAUUGGCUAGUUUCUUGAGUGAUUAGUACUUCCGAAAAGGCAACAAUUGUCUUGACUAUUCUGGGGCCAAUUGGAACUUACUUUCAUUUGGGUAGUAAUAGUUUAGUAGUAGUAGGAGUCUAGUUAGUAGCAAUUUUCUUUAGUCAUUUCCUUAUUUCUUUAUGAGGAAAGGAACCGUGACUCCUUGGGGAGGACAGCCGCUUGGCCUCUAGAUUCUGCUGGCCUUUUCAUUAGUUUUAGAGAAAAACUUAUGCGAUCAAAUUCAAGGGAGUCUUGCGGAUUUUCCUUGAGGAUGUGUAGCUAAAUCUCCGUUUUCUAGUCGAAGGUCAAUUUGAAGAUUCGGUUCCAAACAUCUGUGAAAUCGAAUUAGUUUACUUAUUUCUUUUAUUCAUUGGUAUUCAUACGUUUUCUGGUUUAAUUUCUUAUGAUUGUUUUGUUAUUUGAAUGUCAAGGGCUUGAUAUUCGAAUUAACCUAAUAAUCUAUUGCCAAAAUCGAUCUUUGGCAAGAGUGUAAUCAAGAGUGCCUCUAGGGUACUGAAUUUCUACACCAACUCUAUACAAAAAUAGAUUAUCUACUUCGUCAGCAAUUGCUACUCUGCCCGAUCAAUCAUCAAUGGAGUAAAUUUGAAGAUAAUAGAAACGUAGAAACAGGGAGCUUCCGGAUCUCACAGAAUUCCAAUAAAUUGCUUGUCCUUGUCGUGAUCAAUCUGAGAUUUCGGUUGGAUUGAUUCUGUCCGAAUUAUUCUUGCUAUUUUCUUCUGUUUUCUUGAAUUAAUUUAGAUCAAUCUCUACCUAAGAUUCUUGGGAUAUAUGAGUUAAAGUCUUGCACAUCAUGUGUUUGAAAAAAUGCCAUAAGGAAAAAAUGAAUUAAAGUUCGGUUGGAGGAGAUACUUUAGAUAGGAACUUCCAAGGACAUGGCUGUCUUCUAGCAUUCUGUUGGGGGGUGUCCCUUGCCUUCUCAGGCUUUCCAAUGUAAAACCUUCGCUGCCCUUUUCUCAGAAGGAUCACCACAGUCGGUUUUCUCUGUCAAAGCGGCAUCAUCAACACAUAAGGGGAGGCCGGCACUGCUAUUUUCACAGGAUGCCCUUGAAAGGAUUUCUACUCCCUACAAGUAUGCCCUGGUGAGUAAGUUCUCUAGGGGCAGGCAAAAAAUGGAGGGAGUGCACAAGUUUUUCCUCUCAUUAGAUUUAAGGGAAGCAGCAUCUGUGGGUUUGCUUGACUCUAGGCAUGUAUUCAUUAAUCUGUCCCAUGAAGUUGAUUAUCAUAGGCUAUGGUCUAGAAGCAUUUGGUAUGUCCAUGGAUUCCCGAUGAGGGUCAUCAAGUGGUUGACAGCUUUUCAUGUGGACAAGGAGCCAUCGGUCGCACCCGUUUGGUUCCAGCUUCCUAAGCUACCGGUUCUUUAUUUCAACAGAGAAGUUUUAUUUCAGAUUGUCUCCACGCUGGGUACGCCAUUGUUUGUGGAUACGGCAACGUCGGAGAUGACGCGUCCAAGUUGUGUGCGAGUAUGCGUGGAGGUCGAUCUGCACAAGCCUCGACCAUUACGUGUAUGGAUUGGCAACGGUGACCAUGAUGGAUUUUGGCAGAGUUUCAUACCAGAAAACCUCCCGCCAUACUGUGCGCAUUGCUUUCGGCAGGGGCAUAGGGUGAAGGAGUGUCAUGUUCUUCGGCCAGACCUCCAUGUCACCAAAACUGAGGGUGCGAAGCAAGAAAACACUAGCCCGCAAAAAAUAGUGGUGCAACAAAGAAAAUUAGGAGGAAACGAGGCUGACCACUCUGGACCAUCAGGUGGGCAGAUGGUGGCAGCGCAGGUGCAAGUUCCUCACCUGCAUGUGACCUCAGUGCUAGCGGAGAGGGCAACCACUGCGAUGGAGGACAACCAUAAAGAGCCUGCUGUGUAGGGGGAUGUGGAGGAGAGGCCGCCUCCAUUGGUGCUGGCUGCGCCUGUAUCUGGCCCGCAAAUUGGUAGGGACGGCGAAGGGCCAGCUAGAGAAGGAGGUUCGACUCAUUGGGGUGAGUUUACGAUUAUCGAGGGGGAGGAGCUAGGGGGUGUGGCCAACCACGAACGUGAGGGUCAUCCUGAAGCACAGGGAGUGAGGUCCGGGGUGUCUACAAAGUCACCACAACUUCCGCAGCCAGUGGAGGGGCAGUUUGGAACCUUGGGUAGGAUAACUCUUCUAGUGAUAGAGGCCCUACAACAACCAGCCAGCAGCGAAUUACACUUGGAGUGGGGUAGCGUACAGAUGACCGAAGGUUGCUUGGGUGAGGGGGCAACGGUACCAACCGGGGAGGAUAGCGAUGCAAGUGAUGACGAAAGGGAGUUUGAUCUGCCUCAUGUGCCUGGAAAUUUAUCGCCAAGGUUGGUGGUAGUACUAGAGCCGACUCUGAAUACUACUAGUAUGGAGUUAAACAUUGAUUCCCUCGAUGAUAAUCGCAAGCGGGGUAGGAAGGCAAAGGAGAAUGGACUACGUGCUCAAAUUCAACCAGACAGGCAGCUCCGGUCCUCAACUAAUAUCAAUAACUCAUUCCAGGUAUUACGUAAUGAUUAAUACGCUAAUGUGGAAUAUUAGAAGGGUGUCAAAAAUGCCCAAUCUGAGAAGAUUGAAAAAUAUUAUUCGCAUGCAUGGUGUUCAAUUUGUCGCACUCUCUGAGCCAAAAUUAGAUGUAUCUCGAGUUGAGUCCAUUCGCAUGAGGUUAUCUUUUGACUAUGCAAUUAUUAAUGUUUCGGAAGAUCUCUGGAUUUUUUAUAAUUGCCCUUUUGUUUGCUCCAUUGUUGGUAAUCCUAAUCAGCAUAUUUCCCUAUCUAUUCAACACCCGUGGUUGUCGGGGCCAAUGAUUUUCUCAUUUGUUCAUUCUUUGUGUUCGGUGGAGGGACGUCAGGAUUUAUGGGAAAAACUUUUAGCUGACAAACCUUAUUCCCUGCCUUGGUGUAUUGGGGGAGAUUUCAAUGUUAUUAUAGAUGCUCAUGAAAAACGAGGUGGGAGACCAUUCUCGGUUGCAAAGGGUAUUGAAUUUUUGGCCUUCAUAGAGGAGGCUGAGGUGUUUGAUGCAGGUUUUUUAGGGUCCAGUUUUACAUGGUGCAACAAUCGGAGGGGAAUGGCUAGAAUUUGGAAGAGACUAGACCGAUUGCUCAUUAAUGGGAAGUGUACUGAGUUGGCCUCGGCGAUUUUAGUAGUUCAUUUACCUAGACAUCCAUCUGACCAUGCCCCACUGAGAAUCUCGUUUGCUUCGAGGCUAGACAAUAGGCCGCGACCGUUUCGCUUCUUAAAUGUAUGGACAUCCAAGCCAGAGUUAUUAAAUGUAGUUAGAACGGCCUGGAGCACAGAAAUUCAAGGAUCACUGUUACGAAUUUUGUGCUCAAAGUUGUUGGCUACCCGUCGGGCGAUUCAGCAAUGGAAUAAGCAGCACUUUGGAAAUAUAAGUACUACUGUUGCGGAUGCUGAGUCUGGGCUUGCACGGACACAGGAAGGGGGGGGAACAUUAUGAUUCCGUUGAGGGUCGCGAGGAGCUUCACAAGGCACAAGUGGAGUUGAAUAGGGCAUUGGCAAUUCAAGAACAAUUUUGGAGGCAAAAAUCAAGGGUCAAGUGGCUCAAUAGUGGGGAUCAGAAUACAAGGUAUUUUCAUGCAGUGGUCAAGCAGAGGAGAGUACAGGGGGCGAUACACAGGGUGAAAAAUUCGUAUGGCGAGUGGGUGGACAAGGAUGAUGACAUAGCGCAUGAGGUGGUUGAGUACUUCUCUGGCCUAUUUUCGGGGUCCAUGGACUCUUGUCCGGGGGAUUUAGUGCAUUUAAUUCCGUCAAUGAUCACAAGUGAGGAGAACGCAUUGUUGGCAGAAGUGCCUGACUUGGAGGAGCUUCGACGUAUAGUGUUCACCAUGGACGGGGAGAAUGCUGCGGGUCCGAACGGGUUUACAGGGAAGUUCUUCAUGUUCGCAUGGGAUAUCAUUGCUUAGGACCUGCACAGAGCGGUGGUCAAUUUCUUCUGUGGAAGUGAGUUACCUAGGUUUAUUACUUCCACCUCAAUUGUUUUGCUACCUAAAGUUUCGAAUCCCCAGGAUUUCUCUAAAUUCAGACCGAUUAGUUUCUGCAAUUUUUUCAACAAAUUAUUAUCCAGAAUUUUGGUGGGGCAGCUGGGCUCUGUUAUACCGAGAAUUAUCUCGCCCCAACAGAUGGGGUUUGUCAAAGGCAGAAACAUAACAGAUAAUUACUUGCUAACUCAGGAGUUGAUAUCCACCAUAGGAAAGAAGGCAAGAGGGGGGAAUGUUGCCCUAAAACUGGAUAUGAGUAAGGCAUAUGAUCAGAUGUCUUGGAGACAUAUUAUUACCAUGUUGCGAGCAUUUGGUUUUGGAGAGCGAUUUAUAGAUCUGGUCUGGUGGCUUAUUUCUUACGUGUGAUUUUCAAUUGUAAUUAAUGGAACAUCGCAUGGAUACUUCAAAUCUAGCAGGGGGUUACAACAAAGGGAUCCACUAUCUCCAGUGCUCUUUAUUAUUGGUUCGGAAAUGCUGUCACGAGGGCUGAAUUCUCUAGCAUCACAACACAGUUUUGUAGGGUUUCGAGUCCCAAUGGGCUGUCCCGUCAUCACGCAUCUAGCUUUUGCUGAUGACGUAAUGAUUUUUACCAAUGGGUCUAUUGCUGCUUUAAAACGAACCAUGUAGGUGCUCGAGGCGUAUCAGCUUUCCUCAGGACAAUUGGUCAAUGCUCAAAAGAGUGGAUUCUUGGUUCAUCCGAUUUUACCACCAGCUCGGAGAAGAGUGAUUGAGCGGAUUACGCAAUUCACUAGACAGGAGUUGCCCAUUCGUUAUCUUGGCUUUCCUUUGUAUCUGGGAAUGAGCAAGUCAGCUUACUUUGGAGAGGUGUGUCAAGCGGUGCUGGCUCGAAUUAUGUCUUGGAAGUCAAGAUUGAUAUCCCUGGGAGGGAGAAUAGUCUUGAUAAAGCAUAUGCUCGCAUCCAUCCCAGUUCACUUACUAUCAGCUGCGGUAUGUCCCGUCUCGAUUUUCAAUCGAAUAGAGCAGGCUUGUGCGAAUUUUCUAUGGGGAUCAGCAGGGGAAGGGACAAAGUUUCACUAGAUUAGAUGGUUUCAGUUAUGUCUUCCGGUUGAGGAGGGGGGAGUGGGUUUCAGAAAGCUACAAGAUGUGUACUCGGCAUUUUCCUGUAAAUUGUGGUGGACUUUUCGGACUGGAAAGUCGCUUUGGGCACAGUUUAUGUGAGCUAAAUACUGCAGGGACCUUCAUCCGUGCCAGGUGGAAUUGCGUUGGUUUAACUCAUCGACGUGGAGACGAAUGUUAAAUAUAAGCCGACAGGUGGAGUUAUCCAUGUUAUGGGUGGUGAAUGCGAGGUCAUGUAAUUUUUGGGUUGACAACUGGUUGGGAAGUAGAGCUCUAUGUUUGAAAGCUAUGGUGAACCCGAUCCUCUCCUUCAAGGAUUCCUCACUAAUGGGGAAUGGAACGGUGCUAUGCUAAGGCAAUAUAUACCGCAAGAACUCAUCCCUCUAAUUCUACAACACCUAGUCCCAAACGGAGAUCGCCGAGACGAGGUGGUAUGGAGCCAGACGGAUUCGGGAAAAUUCACGUUGGCAUCGACAUUUCAGGAGGUCUGUCAGGCUCGGAAUUACCUCGUCUUACACUCUCAGGUAUGGCAUUCUCGGAUUCCGUUGAAAGUUCCAUUCUUCAUGAUGCGUUUAUUGUUGGAAAAAUUGCCUUUAACUGAUGUCUUGCGGAGGGUUGGAGUCCAAUUGGCUUCAAAGUGCUUGUGUUGCCAGGAGGGUGCGAUUGAGACACUGGAGCAUGUGUUCGCGGAGGGUCAAGUUGCAAAGGGUGUCUGGAGUUAUUUUGGCAGGAUUUGUGGGGUAACACAACUUGGCUCGUCACUAUGGGCAUGGCUAACGGCUUGGUGGCCGUUCUCCCCUCGGCAUGCGGUAAGAAGGUUCCUCUUCUCGGUUCUUCCCAGUUUUAUAUGUUGGCAUAUUUGGAAGGCUCGGAACGUUGCAUACUACGAAGGAAGGCAGAAGCCAGUGGCGAGGAUUUGUCAUGCCAUUUUUUUAGAUGUGAUAGGGGUGGUUGAGAUUCAGUUUAACCAGAGGCUUGGGGUGCACACAUUUCUUUAGCUAUAUGAGUGGACAACUCAACAACCAUCGCAUUAUAGUUUUCACCUGGUGUCUCAAUCGCAAUACGGAUGGAUGCUCCAAGGGAAAUCCAGGAGUGAGUGGUGGUGGGGGAAUACUUUGUGAUUCAUCAAAAUUACCAUUGUUUGCGUUCUCAACUUACUUUGGGGAACUUUCGAGUUUGCGCGCAGAGGCAUUGGCCUUGGCAAUGGGGCUUCAUUUGUGCGUUCAAAAGGGGUUUACCAAUGUAAGUAUUCAAGUUGAUUCUCUAGUUCUCGUUGGGAUUCUUCAACGGCGGCUCCAGUGCCCGUGGGUGAUACGACGGGAGGUAGACCAAAUUUGGGGCAUGAUUACCGAUGUGGCGCGAUUUUCUCAAUGCUACAGAGAAGUAAAUAAGGUGGCGGACAGUCUGGCAAAGGUGGGUGCGUCCAGCCAUAACCGGAAUGUCACCAUUUAUGAUGAGUUCAAUGCAAUUCCAAGACAGACGCAAGGGGAAAUUCGCAUAGACAGGUUAGGCAUGCCUUCCCUCAGGUGGAGGAAAGUAGGUUAACCUAGGAGGUUGGCUAAUUCGUGAUUCUUUAGAAAGAAGUAACAGAUAGAUUUAUUGCUUCAGAUACAGGUGAUGGUGCACUCGUACCAGUUGCUUGAUAGUAUGAAGGUCCUGGUACACGAAAGGGUUUGAUGAUCAUUCAUGGGAACCUGCUGACCGUCUUGCAAACAUUGGAAUGGAAUCGCGAAUUACUUCGAUUUAUGAAUCAUUCUGUGAACUGCCUCGCUAGGUGAGAGGUGACUUUGCUCUUCAUCAAUUGGGAUUUCCAAACUUUCGUAGAGUUAGAAUAUAGCAAGUGUCAUGUGAUAUUUUUCUUGAAAAAAAAAUCUAUUGCCAAAUUAACCGGUUAAAUUCGUAAUUGUUUGAUUGGUUAAUACCAUUGGCCACUAGCGUGAUUGGCCCCAUGUUAGGAAAACGUAUGAUCUAAUUUAAACAAACCCUCGUAACGUGUUUGUUGAUUAGGGUUGGACUUUUCUAAUUCUUAAUGCAAUUGAGGAAUUGAAUCCUACGGUCGUACCUAGGAUUAUUUCUUGGUUAGGGAAAUAGUUAACGCUCGUACCUUGAUUAUCGAAAAAGUAAGAAAAAGUUGGUUGUCUAUCGUAUGUAUGGCAACUAUAAUCAAUCUAUUAAUGAGUAAUUGAAUUAUCAUUGCAUCGAUGAUCAGUUGAAUGAAUCGUGUCUGAAAAGUUGUACAUUUCGCUAGAGUCGUACUUGUUAUUGAUUAAUUCCUAUUUAUUUCCGUUAGUUGUUUUAUUAGUUGGUUAAUUAGUUAUUUUAUAUUUUUCAAAAAUCCCCCAUAUUCUGAACUCUAGAAGAAAUGAAUUAUCCUCAAUCCCCGUGGAUUCGACUCUACUCAUCGCUAUAUACAAAAUUUGUAUUUUUCUUGUAUAGGUAAUUAUUAUUAUACAGGCUCGACAACCUGUCAAUUUUUAUUUAGAACAAAUCCAUGGAUCCUUUCGAGUUGUCUCAAGAAAACCAUGCCUCAAGUAAGUCAAUGACUUUAUUGUCAAGCAGCAACGCCUUAGUGAGAACAUCCAGAGAAAUGGGAGGAUUUGAUCCAAAGACUGCAUUUGCAAUAGUAUUGACUAGUGGAUUUUGGCUGCUGAAACCAGCAAAUGCAACAGCAUUCAUCUUCCUAACAUUAAAUUGGAAGUGAAUCAGGCCUUUUUUUUUGAUAAAACAUAAGUCAAUAUUAUUAAUCAUCCAGCUGGAAAUCGUCCAACACGAUUUGCUUGAUAAAGUAAUCUGCACUAAUGGCAGAAAAUGCAUUGAAAAUAUCACAAAUAUAUUUGAUCUGAAAAAUCAUAAGAUUUAAUAGAGUUACAGAAUAUAAAAAAUUAUAUUGUGAAUCACAAAUCAUCAAAUCUGACCAAUUGAACGAACUGUUCCAUAGAUAUCUGUGCAUAUCUAUUCCCUCAGAUCUGCGAUCCAACUGGUUCAAGUUCAAAGCUGAUGUUGAGAUCGGACAAGAAAGCCCAAGAAAUUUUAGAUCUAGGUUUUCCAGCUACCCUUGCUGUGGUAUUCUUCCCGCUGCUUUUGUAGCUAUCCAUCUUGUUAUUAACCUUGGGCAGAGGCAACACAAGUUCGUCGCCAAAGUAGUCGGCGCAGAUAACUUCCACUUCCACGGAUGGAUGAAACACCGACAUUGUAAAACACUUGAGAGACUUUGGUUCAAUGGAUUGGUCUUCUUCUUCUCCUGCCGCUGCUACUGCUGUGAUGAAAAGUACUACUAUGUGAAGAAAACUGGGGAAAGAGUACCUUUAUAUAUACAUAGAAAGGAGCUACCAAAUCCUAUGCAUCUUUGGAGAAUGAAAUCGGCUUCAUGUUUUCUUUUCUUUUGGGGAAUGCCAGCGAAUUUAGCAAGCGUUGGUUUCUGAUGUUUCCUAAUCUCGCAAAGGCACAUCGUUGUUGUUGUGCAUGUAUAGAUCCAAUUCUAUGGGAACUUGGGACUGGACUUUAUUUUUUUCCACCUUGAAUUCGGAAUAUGGAUUUUCCACGCCAAGAAGCCGACAAUGGAUAUAUUUGACUUGAGAGCAUUUUCUUUUGGAAAUACACAAUUUUUUACUAGAGAAGUAUCCGAGUCCAUGCAUGAACCAAAGAUAACGCGCAUUAGGAAAGUGAUUUACGAUACCAAUUUAUUAAUGGAAUGCUUGAGUAGAAUUUUUUUUUGCCAGUCAUCAACUGGGAAGUUCUACAUGCUCCUUAUUUUAAGUUUUGUAUUUUUCAAUAUUGAAUUCUUGUUUACUCUUACUAUUAUGAACUAAUCUAUAUCUAGGGUUAGGAUUUUGUGAAGGAGUUUUGAUUAUUUAGCCAACUUAAAUUCUAUACCUUUACCUUGGUUUAUCUAUUUUGAUUUAAUUACAUGUUUGUGUCCAGCCAUCAGAGAUUUGCUCUUAAAAUUUGUAUUGAAUUGAAAAGGUUUAUAUAACCGUGCACUAGAUAAAUAGAUAUAUUUAACCUAAUCAUGAGAAUAGGUCAAGGUUUGUAUGAUAUAAUUAAAUUAUCUAAGAUUUUAAAGGGUUUAAUUAAAUAUAUAUGAUCUUGAAAAAUACGUGAGAUUGAAUUAGGCACAAUUUAUAUAUAUCAAGAGAUAAUUUAAUAUACUUUUGGGUGAUACGCUCUUGGUAUGUCCAUAAAUUAAUUGGAUUGUAAUUCUAACUCUGGAUCAAAAAUCUGAACCCUGAGUUUUGCCAAUUGUUUUCUUACCACUACGCUGUUUGGUUUGGUUAUCUAUUUAAUUUCUUAAUUAGUAGUUAAAAACCUUUUUAAAUUUAAAUUUAUUAUUUUUCAUAGUAAUUAAAGUAGAAAAAUUAACUCCUCCCUCUAGAUUCAACUCUUGGAAUAUUCCAAAUCAUUUUAUUACUACGAUUGACCUUGUAUAUUUGCAAAAAUUUGUCGAUCAACAACAUGUUCUAUAGUUGUAAGGAAUUACUAUCAGUAUUGGGAUCAUUGAUUGCAACACAAAAAUCCUCCAAAGGGCUAGGAUCAGAAGCGACAGCAGGGGAUAAAAGUAGUGCCAUUGUGGCAAUGAUUAUGAGGGAUGAGAUCUAGUAUUUCUUACGCUAACUCUUUGGCUGAUGGUUUGAGGGAUUUGGGCAAAGAUUUGAAGCUAUAUAUAGGCAUAUUUCAUUUGACAAGUCACCAAGCUUAUCUCUAUUAAUUAGUUGAAGAAAAUUAGAGUACUGGACAACUAGGUCUGCAGGUUGGUUAAUUAGUGACUUCUCAUGCUUAGUUAAGUCAGCAAGAUGAAUCCUUCCUCAACAAGUAGGUACAUGCAUUUAUCUAGCUGAACUCUUUUUUUUUUUUUAAUUUUUUAAUUUUUCUUUUUCUUUAAUCUCCCCCUGCCGGUGGGCGGCCCCUCUCCUCAAUGUUAUGGCCCAAACAAUAUGAUUAUUUCUCCUUGGCUUUGUCCUUCACUGGAAAAUGUUCGAACCUUGAAUGGGCACUUUUGUUUCUCUUAAUGAAAAUUGGUUUGGGCACAUAGUCUACGAUGUAACAAGGUGGCCCAUGUUUUUGCAUGAAAUUUUAGAUUUGUUACCACUUGAUUUGUAUUGUAGGAGAGCAUGUUGCACCAAAUUUAUAAGCCUAUCUCUUCUUAUGGCUAAUAUUCUAAGUAUUCAAUAUUGGUUUUCCCUUCCUGUUCCUACAGAAAUAAAAAUAAAAAAGAAAGGUGUAUACCAAUUGGAAAGGUCUUCUAUCAGCUUUGAUUUCCUGAUUAAAAUUUUACUUUGAUGGUAAAAAGUUUGGAAAGGUCAUGAAGUUGUUCUUGAAAUCCAUGUAAUUCUAGAUAUAAUGAUUUUUUCUUUUGAACUUCCUCCAAGUAAUAUCGAGAACUUCCAAAAGAUUCUAAUGAUAUGGCUUUUUAUUUAUUUAUUUUAUAAAUAGGAGAUUUUGAAUCCAAGAAUUGCUACUUAUAAUGCCUCCCUCGAUAUGCUUUGUUUGAAUGGUCAAAGUACAACUAAUACUUCGAAAUUACUCCUUGGUGCAAGAGAGUUAGCUAUGAGAAGCAGCCAGAAAUUCAAUCUUAAUUAUCCUUUUUAAGAUUAGAUCCUCUGACUAAAUAUACUUAGUUGGAUAUGCAAUAAUGAAUUAGAGCAUUAACUUGAUCCAAACUCAAAGGUUUUGUGAUAAAAAGUACUAUCCCAGGCCAUUGUAUUUUUCCAUAUCACCUAGUCAAACCUUAUUUAUUCUAGGAGUUAAGAAGUUAAUAUUCAUGCACUUCUGCCCACUCUAAAUCCCGAGAAAUUUUGUUCCACAACUAAUCUCAUUUGCAAAGUCUUAUAAAUAUUCAGUUAACGGUAUUAGUUGAUUCAAAAAGGUCAUGAUUGCAACUUAAACUCCAAUACUAAUCCAGCUUUAAUUCUAGGUAAUCAUUUUUCAUGACCUGGUUUUUGAAAAUAUGGAAAGUAGUUAACUCCAACCACGUGAUUGAAAAAUCAUUCACUUCCAGACUGGCCAGAGGAAUUUCUUUGCCUCUUUCCUGAAAAUGAUAUAUGUACUUCCGUGAAGGAUAAGGGAAGCUCGAAAGUCUUUGUUACUAGUUCAACUAGACGAAUAAAUAUCUCUUGCCUUUUCCUAGGAUAAGAAUAGAUAGAUUCAGGAAAGACUUGAUCCCUGAUUAUCUAUAUACAUUUAAAAUGAUAUUUGAAAUUGAUUUAGAUUUUAAUAUGGUAUAGUCACAGGUGGCGUCUUAAAUUCCAAAUUAGAAGUUGUAAACAAUUAACUAAAAAGGUAAUUAGUUUUGUUACAAACCUGAUUUAGUUAUCUCCAUCGUUCGGAUUUGGAUCGCUUGACCGGACGGCCUUUGUAGUCCACGCUUCCUUCAACGAUGUCGAGGAGUUUCAAUGGCCUCCGUGGCUGUAGAGACAGCGGCCAUGAUUCAAGUCUCCAGCCAGCCAGCCCACGGAGGUGCAGUUUUCACCUGCGUGUGGAGCUAGCUGGAGUUUUUUUUUUUUUUUUUUUUUUUUUUUUUUAAAGAAUUAAAGUAAUUAUUUGAUUUGCAGAGCAAAUUAUCAGGCACAGCACAAAAAUGCUUAAAUAUCUCAUUGGGACGAUUCUUGUGAACUAGAAACUAGUGUGUAGCUCACUGACUAAUAAUACAACUAAGAAAUAGGCAAUAGAACCACCAAGAAUGUCAAUUUCAGGCCAUCAGAAACCAGAAAUCAUACAUCUGAUGAUGGCUUCUGUACCAGGCUGGAGUUUUUUCAUUUGUUUUUUUGGCUGUUGGUUUAAUUUUAUUCACUUGUUAUUGUUUCAAAUGGUAAGCUGGAUGUUGAAUUUGAAUCGUGCCACAGAAUUUGUGGUGUUUGCAUGCUAACUAUUACUUUUUAUUCGUUGAGAUUUUAGAAGUCAAAUUGACUUUAAUUCACUUUACUCGACCUUGAAUUCAAUCAAGUCUAGCCUAAUCGAAUUCAAUUAAACUUAAUUUAGCUCACCUAAUAAAAAUUUAUAUUUUACAUAUAAUUUAAAAAAUAUAUAUAAUCAACAUUUCAUUAUAAUAAAUAAAAAUAUAAUAUAAAUAAAUAAUAUAUAUAUAUAUAUAUAUAUAUAUAUAUAUAUAUAUAUGGAGGAGGGAUGAAUUAAAUAGUGCCAAAGGAGGGAAUGCAAGCGAUAAGUUUUGGAUUCAACACCUUCCACUUAUAUAUUAAUAUAUAUAUUGAAAGCUCAUGAGUUUUUUUGACCGAACUACUCGAGCUGGUGAUUUGUUGUCACGCACCCCCAAUGAUGAUUUUAUUUGUAUUGAACUUUGCCCUUUUUGGUGUGAAUUGAACUUGGUGCUUAUUUGUUUUGUCAUAUAUAUAUCCAUCAUAUAUCCAUCAACCCCAGAAGGGAAAAAAUGACAGAAGACAAACUUAACGAUAUGUUAUUUGUAGAGGUAGGUUGGACUUUGUGUUAUUUGGUUUGUCGUGAAUCUAGCAACCCAUAAAGGAAAGAAAAAAGACAAAGUUGAAUAUUCAUUCUUAGACUUGAGAAGUACUUAAAAGUCAUUUCACCUUUACGCUCAUUAGUUGCUUUCACUUAAGUUGAAUGCAAUGGCUGGGCUUGAACUUGCAACUUCUGCCUUAAUAAGGCGAUGUUAUGACCAACUGAGCAAGAUUCCCCACGUCAAUUGAUGAGACAAAGAUCUUAUAAAUUAUUUUUGAUAUGUCAAUUCAAUUUAAAAUUUUCCCCUUUUCCUCUGUGUUCUUCAAUUACCGUUACAAAAAUAACAAUAAAAUUUCUUAAUAAUGAUGACUAGCCAAUAUUUGUCUUAUUUUGCCACUUUGAUAAUUGCCCAAGAAUUCGGCAAUUCGCCAAAUUAAACAUUUCUAAAGCUGUCAUCUUCAUUUUUUCUUCCGUUUCAACAAAAAUAACUUGAACUAAAAAGGAGAACUUAUUUAAUAAUAUAUCACUUUAUGCUCACACAUAUAAUACAGUUUUAUGAUAUUAUCAUAUCAAUCUUUGCAAUGCCCUGUGCAUACAUGGCACAAAAGUCAUGCUAGUAGAAUUUAGGACAAAUCCAUGGAUCCUUUCGAGUUGUCUCAAGAAAACUGUGCCUCAAGAGCGUCAAUGACUUUCUUGUCAACUUGGAAUGCCUUAGUAAGAACACCUAGAGAAAUGGGGGGCUCUGUUCCAAAGACUACAUUUGCAAUAGUAUUGACCCCUGGAUUUUGGCUGCUAAAACCGGAAAAUGCAAGAGCCUUCGUCUUCCCAAGAUUUUGUAUGAAGUGAACCAGACCUUCUGGGAACACAAAAACAUCUCCUGGAUUCAAGACUUUGGUAAAAAGGCGAUUUUUCAUGUUAUUUGGUGGAUUUGAAGUGACAAAACUAGCAGCCAGAGUGCCCUCUACCGCAAAUAUGACCUCGGUUGCACGCGGAUGAGUAUGGGGUGUGUUUACACCAUAAGGAGCGAAGUCGAUACGAGCUAGGGAAAUUCCAAAAGUGUUGAGCCCUGGUAGAUUGUUGACAAGCACACGAGUGACAUUAGAACCAACUGGAUUGUUUGUAUUUCCAGGUAUGUUGAAUCCCUGGAAGAAGAAAUCGUUGGCAGUCACAACCUUUGGAUCCUUGCAUAUCUUUCCGUUCACAAACACUGC